AGAAAACAAAUAAAAGAAAUUAUUCACAAAAAUUAAUUCCAUGAAUUAAAAUUACUUACCUCCCCGGCAACGGUGCCAAAAACUUGUUGUGCAAAUUUUAAUGUACUCGCAAGUGCACGAAUCUAUUGUAGAAUAGACUAAUGGUGACGAGUGUCGAUCCCACGAGGAUGUGGAUUUUAAUUAUAUGUAGAAUUAAUUUUGUAAAUGGGUGGUUGGAAUUGUGGUGGAAGUGAUUUAAAUUAUCCUAAAAUUGGAAUUGAAAUGGCGAGAAUAAAUUCUAAAAUUGGAAUUGCAAUGGCGAGAAUAAAUUGAAGAGAAAUCUAUUGAAAUGACGUACUUGGGUAUCUGGAUCCGUAUCAACAUGCACCAUGGGCUAAAUAUUCCUUAUUAAUACCAAUUAAAUCAUGAGGGGGGAAUCCACACCUCAUGAACCAUACUCUAAUCAAUAUGGUGCUAAGGGCUUAUCAUGCCAAAUAAUAAUAACCUUAUACUAAAGAGCCGGUGUAGCCAAGGCGGUAUCUAGACAAGAUUAUUAUUAUUUGUCGACGAGAAGUCAAAACAUCCACAAAAACUAGAGGGGAAGAGAAAAUAAAUUUACCAAAUUAAGCCCAUGACACAUGUUGAGACUUCAUCUUCAACCCAAGCUUGAAAGAAAAUUAGCUACUCAUAAUUGAACUAGGGGCAAAAUGGAAAUUUAUUAAAAUACAUAGAAAAUACAAGAUGGAGAAGGAAUUAUAGAAAAUGGAUCCCAAAAAUGGAUUCAGAUAUAUCAAAUUAGGGGGGAGAGGCCCCUUUUUUAUAGACACAUGGAGUAAAUCAUGCCCAUCAGAAAAAAAUAGUUGGACGCUCAGGAUUGCGCCACGUCAUCAGUCAACAGUACGCGGUUUGACCACGCGGAUGAACAGUAACACGGUUUGACUCGGGUUGAACAGUAAUGCGGUUUGGUUGAAAAUAAUCUUGUGUGAUGCAUGUACCGUACGCGAGAUUUUUGGUCCACUGAUAUGCUGCCACGUCACCAUCAACAGUACAUAAGAAUUUUAGUCCAACAGGAUCGUGACACCUCAUCAGUCAAUGCCACAUCAUCGAUCAAUGCCACGUCAUCAUCGGUCUAUGUGAACAGUAACGUAUACAGUACCGUACACGUGAAUAGUACCGUAUAUGUAAACAAUACCAUUUUUCCUUUUAUGCUCCUCCUAAGGUUUUCGACUGUCCUGAGUUCAAAAGUGAUGUCCGUUUUGCCAUCUAAUCUCUCGUUUAUUGUGAAAUGACUAUGAUGCCCCUAAAAUACAUAAAAUACUUAAUUAAAAUAAAACACACGGAAUUAAAUCAAAAGAAUGUUAAAUUCAUAAAAGUAACGGUGUUAGUAAAACUUGUAGUGUAAAAUGAUGAUUUUCUCCUUAAUAAAUAUAUAUUUUCUAACACUCAACACUGACAACUCUAAAGGAUAUAUAAUCUAUAGCGAUGCCUCCCAAAGCGGCAUAGAAUGCGUUCUCAUGCAAAAUGGAAAAGUCAUUGCAUAUGCUUCCAGAAAAUUGAAGGAUUACGAGAAAAAUUAUCCAUUGCCUGAUUUAGAGUUGGCAGCAGUAGUGCUCGCAUUAAAAAUAUGGCAUCACAAUUUAAUGGGGGCGCAUUGUAAGAUUUACACUGAUCAUAAGAGCCUCAAAUACUUCUUUACACAAAAGGAGUUAAAUAUGCGACAAUGGCAAAGGCUAGAGCUUGUCAAAGACUACAACUACUGUGAAAUAAACUAUUAUCCUGGAAAAGCAAAUAUGGUAGCAGAUGCACUAAGUAGAAAGUCAAGCCCGUCAGCUUUAAGGAUCUUACUUAAGCCAUUACAAAAUGAUAUAUGUAAGGCAGAGAUCGAGCUAGUAGUAGAAAAAUUAGCCAACAUGACACUUCACUCGACUUUAUUAGAAAAGACUAAGGAGGGGCAAAAAAGUAAUUCCUACUUAAAAAACUUGAAAAUAAAAGCCAACACAAAGGAGAUGUUGCUCAAGAAGUCAGAAAAGGGAACCAUUUUAUUCAAGGACAGGAUAUGUGUACCAGAUAAUGAAGAUCUAAAGAAAGAAAUCAUACUUGAAGUUCACACAACCUUAUAUUCACUUUAAGUUCGUAGCAAAAUUUCUCACUUGUUUACUAAUCAAAGCAGAGCACCAAAGACCAGCAAAAUUUUUAGAAUCUAAUCAAGUUUCUCAAUGGAAGUGGGAAGAAAUCACAAUGGACUUCGUCAUUGGUCUUCCAAGUACUGUAAAAAAUGCAUGAUGUUAUUUGGGUGAUUGUCGAUUGAGUCGCAAAGUCUGCUCACUUCUUGCCUAUUUGAAUGAUGUACACCAUGGACUAGUUUGCAGUAAUAUACGUAAAGGAGAUAAUAAGACUUCGUGGUAUACAUAUUUCUAUUAUUUCUGACCGAGAUACAAGGUUUACUUCACAUUUUGGGAGAAGUUACAUAAUGCUAUAAGGACAAAAUUAAAAAUUAGUACAUCAUUUCACCCUCAAACAGACGACCAGUCAGAAAGAACAAUUCAGACGCUUGAAGAAAUGUUGCGAGGAUGUGCUAUUAACUUUCAAUGAUCAUGGAGCAAGUAUUUAUCAUUGGCUAAAUUUGACUACAACAAUAGCUACCAAGCAACAAUAGGUAUGACACCAUACGAAGCUCUAUAUGGUAGAAAAUGUAGAUCACCUAUUCAUUGGGAUGAGAUGGGUGAGUGAAGGCAUCUUGGACUAGACUUAAUUACUGCCUCAUAUGAAGCAAUUGAGAAAAUACGUCAAAGAAUGCAGGCAGCUCAAAGUCGACAGAAAAGUUAUGCCGAUAAAAGGCGAAGGCCUUUGGAAUUUCAAGUUGGUGUUGCCCCCAAUAAAAGGAUUGAUGAGAUUUGGGAACAAAGGAAAAUUUUGCCCUUAUAAAAGGAUUAAUGAGAUUUAGGAACAAAGGAAAAUUAAGUCCGAGGUUUAUUGGGCCAUUUGAAAUACUUAAACAUGUCAGGAAUGUUUCCUACCGACUUGCCCUCCCCCCAUCGUUAUCAAGAAUACAUAAUGUCUUUCAUGUAUCCAUGUUAAAGAAAUAUGUUCCAGACUCCUCUCAUGUACUAAAUUAUAAGCCUCUUCAACUAGAAGGAGACCUAACCUACGAAGAAUGUUCAAUUCAAAUUCUUAAUAGAAAGAUAAAGGAUUUAAGGAACAAGAAGAUCCCUUUAGUUAAAGUACUAUGGCAAAAUAGAUCAGAGGAGGAGGCAACAUAGGAACGUGAGGAAGAGAUUAAGAAUAAGUAUCAUGACCUAUUCAGUAAGUAAAUUCCGAGGACGAAAUUUUUUAAAGGGGAGGAGGAAAUUGUGAGGCAUAAUUUUCUCACUUAAAUACAAUAGAAUUUAUUUUAAGCUAACAAGCCCUCUGAUAACUCUAUAAAAUGAGAGUUAUCAUGGCACUUUUAAACUUAAAUCAGUACUACUUAGAGAGUAAAUGAUGUGUUUUCAUUACAUUUUUGUUAUAUUUUUCAUAAUCAUUCAUCUUAGUUUAUUCUUCAUAAAUUUUCUUUGAUUUAGAAUAAAUUGUAUGCUUAAAUCAUUCGCAUAAUUGUAGGUGACCGGAAGCUCAAAUUUCAAGGAAGAAAUGUUAAUGCAAUAGGCUUGCAAAAGAUGGAAAAGAACUUUGCUAUAAAAGAAUUGAAACAAAUCUGGAAUAGUGUAGUUGUUGUACUCGUUGUUGUAGCAAUCGUUGCUGUAGCAACCAUGCCAUUAUUGUAGCAAUCCUGGAACAAAAACAGAGAAAAUUUUGCAGAAUAUUGCGAUCUGCAGUUUCCUAAUCGGAAGACACGCGACCUAGGCUUCCGUUUACCCUAAAUUUCAACUAUAAAAUGAGCACACAUCAUAAGGAAAAAAAGAGAGCCGUCACCCAAAGAGAAAAAUCACAGAGAAACAAAAGAAAAAAUAAUAUUCAAGAGAGAGAUUGAGGGCUGCACAAGAGAAGAAUUUGCAGAAAUCAAUUAGAAGCUCAGUCAUUUUUAUUCUUCUCUUGUUUUCUGGUUUUCUAUUUAUUCAUGGGGAUGUGUUUGAUGGUUGAAACUUUGUUCUUUAUUUUUCUUUUCCAAAUCAUGAACUAAAUUUAUUUGUGGUUGAGUGAUAAACAAUUUUGAUGGUUUAUUGACUGAAAAUAUGUGUUGCUGCAUGUUUGCUGUAGCAUUUUAUUUUGAUAGCUUUUAUUUUUAUUCAUUAUCUUGAUUGAUUACCCAUUUAAUGAUACUAGGUAAGGAAGAGCCACAAAAGGGCCUAUCUUAGUGGAACAUAUCAGAGUAAUAUUUGAUUUUAGAUUGAGUUUCCUGGAUUGAGUUUUGCUUGAUCCCAAAAGGGUCAUGUUUGAUCUAAGAUUAGUGAUGAAUUAGAUAUAGAGAUUUACUUUGUAGGGUAAUUAGGGUAAUUAGAACCUAAGCGUGUAAUGUUAUAUCUUAUGUUGGCAUAACAACUGAUCACUGUUAGGUUGCAUAUAGAUAUAAGACAUCCAACAUGCGACAGUUGAGGAUACAUAAGGAUUUUGCCCAGUAUUGUAGCAGAUGUUGUAGCAACCGAGCCAAACAUUAGGAAAAUAGUCAAACCAUUAAGAGAGUUUAUUCACUCAACUACUCUAUUUUCCUAUUGGUUUUAUCUUUGAGUUUGACGUGAUAAUUUACUUUGUCGCAUUUUAUUUAUUGCAUUUUUAUUUUAAUUAGUAUAUUAGUUUCAUUAAUUAUUUAUUUUAAUUUAGAACAAAAUCUGCAUUGUUGAGAUUGCUGUAGCAUAUCUAAUAAUAUCAAUCCCUGUGGAGAUGAUCUUGAAUACUCAUCAUUAUAUUACUUGUUGUGUACAGUUGCACGUUGACAUCAAUAGCAAUUGAGCUUAAAACAUACAACAUCUUCUUAAGUAUUAAAAUAAUAAUGAUAAUAAUAAAAAUAUAAAAUAUUUAAUUCUAAGUAAUGAUGACAUAAUCCUAGCCCCCUAGUCCCCUAGCCCCUUUCAUUUUCAAUGCAACUUAGAAAUUUCACCCUCUUUAAUUCUAAGACAUAACAUCAAGAGUAAAGAAAUCUUCAAUUUAAAAAGGUCUAGAGAAGUCAAGGUCAAGAGGUAAGUAACACUUCAACUGCAAUGUGGGGACAAAAUUCUUUUAUACUUAACUUCAACUUUAAUUAAUUCUUAAUAUUGUUAUGGCUAUUAUGACGUGAUUGGUUAUAAUCUAAAUUUUUAGACGACUAUGCCACCUAUAUUAUAGUAAUUUCUUACUUAUCUUUAUAUGGUCGGCUAUGCUGCAUAAUCUAUGAUAUUUAAUUAUUUUAUGGUCGACUAUGCUGCCUAAUCUAUGAUACUAAAUUAUGUUACGGUCGGUUCUGCCACCUAUACUAUAAUUCCAUUUUAUUUAAUUUCUGUAUGGAAGACAUUGCCGCUUGUAUUAAAGAUUGUUGUCCAUAAAUAGUGUUGUGUGUUGAUUCUGUUGUGCAUCUAAGAACUUCAAAUGUUAUUACAUAAGUUGCAUUGGACACGUGCAUUUCAUGGAUUACUUUAUGAAGAAGACGUUUCAAAAAAUCAAUUUAUGAAAAAUGGGUGGUUGUACUACUAGGUGGCAAAGUUUCCAAGGAAGGCAAGCCCUCCAAGUAUAGUAUAAGGUAAAUCUUUCGGGAAAGGCGAUACGUAACGCCCAAAAGAUCAACUGUUUAGGCCCAAGGGCACGUUAUUUUAAAGAAUAAGAAUGCUAGCCUUGGGGUACAAUAUACCUAAGGCCCUAACAAAGUUGUUUUGUAUUUUAUAAGUUUCUUUUAAAAACUUAAUAUGUUCAUUUAUAUGCAUAAUAAUUUAUAAAAGUAUUAAAGUGUUAUCUCACUGGCAUUAGCUUAUAAAGUCCUUACAUUGCAGGUAACGAUGAAUAAGGCAAGCUGACGCCAAGUCCCAACCCAGGUGAGGUGCAUAUGUGCAUAUCAAUCGUUAGGUUUUAAGAUGGAUACAACUUUGUAUCUAUCAAAAAAAUAAAUAUCUUAGGUUUGUGUAAUAAUAACAUUUUUGGAAAAUAUCUGCAUGUCUCUUAUAUUUUGUAAGAAAGUUAUGCUUGCUAUGUAAAACUUUUUUUUAGAAUUCAUAUUUAUAUUAAACAAGUAAUGAGGCUUUAAAUAUUUCCAAAAUAAAUUAGUUAAGAAAAAAGUGGAGUGUUACAAAAUUAUCCUUACUUCGCAGUCACAAAUAUUGGAUAACACUCAAUUUAUCUUCAUUAAGCUUUCAAAUGCAUGAACAAAUACUGGAUAACAGAGCUACAUAUAACACACAACACAACACAUACACUCACAUACACAUUACACGAUAGCACAACCCCCUCAAAUUGUUAUGUCCUCACAGGCACACAAAAUAAAGCCAAGAUAAACAUGCAUACACUAACAAUAAAGAAAUACAAAAUGAACAAUCUGAAAUAAAUAGAGAAAAGAAAAGAAAAGUUUCAGAAGUUGGAAAAUUAAAUUUGGGCUAGCAGGGGAUACUCCUCUGUUGUUGGACAUUUUGCUGCAGGUCUGGCUAAAAAUGUUUCACUUCUUCUUAGUUUUACUUCGCAAAUGUUCCUUAGGUAAGCCUAAUGAUGUGUCAACUGGUUGUUUCUUUUUUUGGCUCUGAGUUAGACUGAUUGGUUGGGUGCCUAUAGGUUCAGUGGCUUUGGGUUGAGUUUGCUUUGUUCUCUUGUGUUCUGGCUCUUCUAGUGCUGUAACAUCUCUAGAACGUUAUGCCACUUUGCGUUUGCUGGAGAUCCUGAGAGCUGUGACAGGAGAUUUUGUUAAGGUUUGUUGUGUAGUAGCUUGAGCAGGUGUUACUGCAGCCGGUUCCUUAAUAGUGAUACUAGCAAUGAGGUCUUUUAGGCUUCUUCUUACUUCUUCUUUUCUAGCAACUCUAUUAAUAGCUUCCUAUAUGGUUGCAUCCACAUCCUCCUACCAUUCUGAUUCUAACUACUCUUCAACCAAAAUUUUCUCUUUUCUUUUACAUAUGGGAGUUACCUUGGGAAGUUCUGCCUCCCUGUUUUCUUCUUUUACCUGCUCUUCUCCUUUCUCUUCCUCUACUUAAUUUUCAUCUUCAGUCUCCUCUGCUGCUUCAGCAUCUUCUACUUAUUGUUGCUCUUGCUGCUGUUUUUCCUCAGACUCUCCUUCAACUUCCUCUGUUGCUUCAGCAUCUUCGCUCUCUUCUGCUGGAGCAGCUUCCUCAACUUCUCCAAAAUUAAAUUGUUGUAGUAAUGAUUGUAGAAAUUAUGUAUCUUCACUCUUCAUGUACAGGGAAACUGGUGCUUUUGUGCUUCAAGAUGUUGUAAGUAGGUCUAAAAUCACUUAUUUUUUUCCAUCUGCACUUGGACACAUGCUUUCAUUGCUUCACUAACUUCUUGAAGCAUAUUUUUUAUCCCUAUAGCUUGUCCUGUCCUUGCUGUAGCGGGGUGUUCUGGGUUACUAUAGCUGUAGAUUCUCUAGUAAUUCUCUCAAUUGUCCUCACGGUAAUGGCCCCGUCAUUCUUUAUUCUCUCAUCAUUGUCCUCAAAUUACACUAUCGAGGCUUCACAUAUUAUGUGAUAAGAGAAGGGAAUAGUAAUGUAGCAGAUUUUUUCUUUUUCAUUGAACAAUCGCUAAUUUCCCUCUCAAUGAUCUUACUUACAUCUAUCACCAAGCUCUUAACUAUAGCAUAGAGGAGGAUGAGUUUGUCUUGAGAAACUAUGGUAGUGUGGGUAGCUGGCAUUAAUCAAGAUUUUAAAAAAUUUAUCCAAACCUUGGCAAUAGGUUUCAAAUCUAUUAUACUAACUACUCACCCUUCUUCAUUCAUCCACUCAUUACCCAGGAUAGUCAAGGUUUUGAAAACUUCCCCUCAUUUCUUCACUGUCAUGUUCUCAGCAAAUUAUGUGUAUUCACACUCUGCAGUAGUAGGUAAAUCAUAGAUGGCAUUAAUAACUCUAGAGUCUAAGGGACUUGUACUUGCCUUACAAAGAUAUUGCGUUGAUUCUACUGUAGUAAGUUGGAGUAGCAUUCUUUUACACCCAGGGGUGAGAGCAAAAUUUUAUCCAUCCUCUUCUUGCUACAGCGUUAUAGCUGUUGUUCAUUACUUUCGUUGAUUGCUUUGGGAAUAUAAAACCCUUUUCCUACAAAAGCUUUCGUGGCUCUAUAAAUUCCUCAAAUUUAUCUUUGGCUCUAUAGUUACGGAAGCGUGAAGGGUCCUUCAAUUUAGCAGCUCGUGUCUUAAACUUUAGCAUUGCUAUAGUAGAUUGAACAGAAAUGUAUCAUGCCUAAAAAAGAAGUGGAACAUAAAAAAAUUGUAAAUAAUGGUAAGAGUUAUCGAUAGAGAAAAAAGAAUUAUGGUGGAAUUGAAAAAAAAGGUUAUAGUGAAUCCUUAAUUUAUAGCAAGAUAAAAAAUAGAAAAAAGAAGGCAAUUAAGAAGAUAAUUUAGAAAGAAUUUUUGUAAUUUAAAAACAAAUUUAAAUGAAAAAGGAAAAGAUAUAUAUCACAAUAAUUUAGAGAUUGCAUAAUCCUCCCUUAUCUCUAAUUCUGAUUUACUGAUGCAAGCUUGAUAGUCUUCCAACAGUUAAAAAAAAAAAAAAAAAUCCAAGGCUUGUUAGUGCAAUGGUAAAGAUUGCUCCAACAUCAAUUAAUUUGUUGCUGCAGCAAUAACGAUAAAGUCCCCUUGAGAACCAGUUUCCAACUGCCAUGUUGUAUGUGAUGUUGCAGCAAUUCUUCAGUUUUCUUUGCCUUUUGUUUUAUUUUAAUUAAUUUUUAAAAAAAUGUGAUGUAAUAAAAUAAAAGAAAUGAAAGAAAUUAAAUACUUAAUUUAAAAUGACAAAAACCAUAAAUUAAAAGUAUGCAAAACUAGGCUUAAUAGUUAAGGAAAAAUUUGAAAUAAUUUCUCUCAUUAUUGGGUUGUAUUCCAAUUAGCGCUUAAUUUUAAGUCCUUCAGCUUAACCAUCCUUGAUUUCUCAUAUCGGAUCCCUUAGGAAUAAGUUCUGCCUUGGGUGAUUCACAUUAUCUCCCGUGUAAUGCUUCACUCUAUGCUUAUUCACCUUGAAUUCUUGACCUAUUCUUUCAUUUUGAAGUUCAACGGCCCUAUGAGGAUAUACUUUAAUAAGCUUGAAAGGUCUUGACCAUCUAGAUUUCAAUUUUUCAGGAAUGAGCUUUAAUCUUGAGUUAUACAACAAGACUUGAUUGCCUGAAAUGAGUUCCCUCUGUUAGAUUCUUUGGUCACGCCAUUGCUUGGCCUUCUCCUCAUAAAUUCUUCUAUUUUCAUAGGAGAAUUACUUGAAUUCCUCUAGCUCACAAAGUUGUAAUUGUUUUUGCUCUACUGCAGCAGUCAUAUCCAUAUUCAGUUGCUUGACUGCCCAAUAUGCUUUGUGCUCUAACUCUAAUGGCAAGUGACAAGCUUUUCUAUAAACAAUUCUGUAUGGAGACAUGCCAAGUGGAGUUUUAUAAGCUGUUCUAUAAGCCCAUAAAAAAUCAUUUAAUCUAAGUGACCAAUCCUUUCUGUUGGGACUCACAACUUUCUCCAAAAUCUUCUUUAUCUCCCUAUUGGAUACCCUUGCCUGUCCACUUAUUUGUGGAUGAUAUGUUGUAGCAACCUUAUACUUGAUUCUAUAUUUAGCCAAUUGUUGAGUGUUAGAAAAUGCAUAUUUAUAAAGGAGAAAACCGUCAUUUUACAUUUCAAGUCUUACUAACAACCCUUACUUUUAUGUAUUUAACCUUCUUGUGAUUUAAUUACAUGUGUUUUAUUUAAUUAAGUAUUUUAUGUAUUUUAGGGGCAUCAUAGUCAUUUCAUAAUAAACGAGAAAUCAGAUGGCAAAACGGACAUCACUUUUGAACUCAGGACGGUCGAAAACCUUAGGAGGAGCAUAAAAGGAAAAAUGGCACUGUUCACAUGUACGGUACUAUUCACGUGUACGGUACUGUAUACGUUACUGUUCACGACACUGUUCACAUAGACGGACUGAUGAUGUGGCAUUAACUGAUGAGGUGUCACGAUCCUGUUGGACUAAAAUUCUUAUAUACUGUUGAUGGUGACGUGGCAGCAUAUCAGUGGACGAAAAAUCUCGCAUACGGUGCAUGCAUCACAUAGGAUUAUUUUCAACCAAACCGCAUUACUGUUCAUCCGGGUCAAACCGUGUUACUGUUCAUCCACGUGGUCAAACCGUGGACUGUUGACUGAUGACGUGGCGCAAUCCUGAGCGUCCAAACUGUUUUUAAUCCGAUGGCCAUGAUUUACUCCAUGUAUCUAUAAAAAGGGGGCCUUCCCCCCCUAAUUUGAUAUCUCUGAAUCCAUUUUUGGGAUCCAUUUUCUGUAAUUCCUUCUCCAUCUUGUAUUUUCUUCGUAUUUUAAUAAAUUCCCAUUUUGCCCCUAGUUCAAUUAUGAGUAGCUAAUUUCCGUUCAAGCUUGGGUUGAAGUUGAAGUCUCAACAUGUGUCAUGGGCUUAAUUUGGUAAAUUUAUUUUCUCUUCCCCUCUAGUUUUUGUGGAUGUUUUGACUUCUCGUCGACAAAUAAUAAUAUUCUUGUCUAGUACCGCCUUGGUUUCACCGGCCCUCUAGUGCAAGGUUAUUAUUAUUUGGCACGAUAAGCCCUUAGCACCAUAUUGAUUAGAGUGUGGUUCAUGAGGUGUGGAUUCCCCCCUCAUGAUUUAAUUGGCAUUAAUACGGAUUAUUUAGCCCAUGAUGCAUGUUGAUACGGAUCCAGAUACCCAAGUACGUCAAUUUAAUAGAUUUUCUCUUCAAUUUAUUCUCUCAAUUGCAAUUCCAAUUUUAGAAUUUAUUCUCGCCAUUUUAAUUUAAUUAUUAGCAUAUUCCAAAUCAUUUCCACCAUAAAUCCAACUACCCAUUUACAAAAUUAAUUCUAUAUAUAAUUAAAAUCCACCUCCUCGUGGGAUCGACACUCGUCACCAUUAGUCUAUACUACAACAGAUUCGUGCGCUUGCGAGUACAUUAAAAUUUGCACAACACCAAUGCCGCAGCAAAUGUUCUGUUGCAAAAAUGUGUUCCUUCAUCACUAAUAAUAGCUCUUGGAGUGCGAAAUCUUGAGAAUAUGUUCUUUUGAAGGAACUUCAUUACUACCUUGGCAUCAUUAGUUGGUAAUGUUACAGCUUCUACCUAUUUGGAGAUGUAGUCCACAGCCACUAAAAUGUAUAGAUUGCCAAAAGAGGGUGGGAACAGUCCCAUUAAUCUAUCCCCCAUACAUAAAAGAGUUUCACUUCCAAAAUGUUAGUGAGUGGCAUCUCAUGUUUUUAAGAUAUGUUCCCCACCCUUUGGCACCUGUCAUAACAUUUAACAAACUCGCAAGCAUCCUUAAAAAUGGAGGGCCAGUAGUAACCUGAUUAAAGGACUUUUAUUUUUUUCUUGUGCCCUCCAAAGUAUCCUCUAUAUGUUAUAGCAUGACAUGAUUGUAGCAUGUCGAAAUUUCUUUAUUUGGUACACAUCUUCUGAUCACAUGGUCUGAACAUAUCUUGUACAAAUAAGGCUCAUUCCACUGAUAACUUUUUACAUCAUGAAGAAAUCUAUUUUUUUUUUCUGUUGGUAGCUUAAAUAAGGUGGUAAUAAUCCACUCACCAAAUAAUUAGCAAAAUCUGCAUACCAUGGAAAUCCCAAUUGCUAUAACAUCAGAGAGUAUUGUAGCAUUAAUAAUUGCUUAUCAGGAAAUGUUUCUGUGAUAUCCUACUUGGCCAGAGUGCUUCUAUCUGCUUCAAGAUCGUCUCCACAAGGAUUAAUGUUAUCAGACUUGCUACAACAAUCUUAACAGUGCAUAUUUUGUGCUACAAUAAUCUUAACAGUGCAUAUUUUGUUCUAAAUUAAAAUAAAACAACUAAUGAAAUUAAUAUACUAAUUAAAAUAAGAACGCAAUAAAUAAAAUGCAACAAAGUAAAUUAUUAGCAAAUUUGCAUACCAUGGAAAUCCUGAUUGCUAUAACAUCAGAGAGUAUUGUAGCAUUAAUAAUUGCUUAUCAGGAAAUGUUUCUGUGAUAUCCUACUUGGCCAGAGUGCUUCUAUCUGCUUCCAGCCUUAAGGAUGAUAUGCUACUUGAUUUUCAGUGCCUUUUUUAUCCUUGAUCUCCAAGUCAAUCUCUUGUAGCAACAGAAUCCACCUAAUCAACCUUGGUUUGACAUCCUUAUUUGAAAUCAGAUACUUUAUAGUCGAAUGAUCUAUAUAAGCAGUCACUUUGGUGCCACCCAAAUAAGCUCUGAAUUUAUCAAAUACAAAAACAACUGCCAGUAACUCUUUUUCAGUGGUAGUGUAUUUGAUUUGUGCAUUAGCUACUGUCUUGCUGGCAUAAUAAAUAGAGUGAAAAAUCUUGCCUUUCCUUUACCUUAGCACUGCUCCAACAGAAUAGUCACUAGCAUCACACUCAAUUCAAAAGGCAUACUCCAAUCUGGUACUAUAACAACUGAUGCUAUAACAUGAGCUUUCUUCAACUCAACAAAAACUUUUAAACAUUUCUCAUUAAAAUUGAAAAGUCUAUCAUGUUCCAGUUGCAUAAGGGUUUGACUACUUUGGAAAAGUCUUUAAUGAAUUUUCUAUAGAACCUAGCAUGUCUUAGGAAACUAUUAAUGCCCUUUACUGAAGUAGGUGGUGGAAGUUUAUCAAUCACCUCUAUUUUUGUCUUGUCUACUCUAUUCCUUGUUUAGAGACUCUAUGGCCUAGGACUAUCCCUUAUUAUACCAUAAAUUGACACUUUUCCCAAUUUAAUACUUACUUAGUCUCCUCACAUCUCUUAAGCAUUUUUUCUAGGUUAUGCAAAUAGUCAUCAUAUGAUUCCCCAAAAACUAAAAAAUCAUCCAUGAAUACUUCAACUAUUUGCUCAUAUCUAAAAAAUAGACAUCAUACACCUUUGGAAAGUUAUUGAGGCAUUGCACAAACCGAAAGGCAUCUUUCUGAAAGCAAAGGUUCCAUAAAAAUAAGUGAAUGUUGUCUUCUCCUGAUCAUGUGGUGCUCCAGCAAGUCUGUCCAGCAUCUAGUUUAUGAAAGGCAAUGGAAAGUUAUUGUUGGAUAUAAAUUCAAAUGCUAUUGGUGUCAAUGUGCAAGUGUACACAAUAAGUAAUAUAAUGAUGAGUAUUCAAGAUCGUCUCCACAUGGAUUAAUGUUAUUGACUUGCUACAGUAAUCUUAACAGUGCAUAUUUUGUUGUAAAUUAAAAUAAAACAACUAAUGAAAUUAAUGUACUAAUUAAAAUAAGAACGCAAUAAAUAAAAUGUAACAAAGUAAAUUAUCACAUGAAACUCAAGGAUAAAACUAAUUGGAAUAUAGAGUAGUUGAGUGAUUAAACUCUUUUAAUGGUUUUGACUAUUUUUCCAAUGUUUGGCUCGGUUGCUGCAGCAUCUGCUACAACACUGAGUAAAAUUCUUAUGUAUCCUCAGUCGUCACAUGUUGGAUAUCUUAAAUCUAUAUGCAACCUAACAGUGAUUAGUUGUUAUGCUAACAUUAGAUAUAACAUUACACGCUUAGGUUCUAAUUACCCUACAAGGUGAAUCCCUAUAUCUAGUUCAUCACUAAUCUUAAAUUAAGCAUGGCCUUUUUGGACUCAAGUAAAACUCAAUCCAAAAAACCCAAUCUAAGACCAAGUAUUGCUCUAAUAUAUUCCACUAAGAUAGGCCUUUUUGUGGUUCUUCCUUAACUAAUAUCAUUAAAUGGGUCAUCAGCCAAAAUAAUAAAUAAAAAUAAAUUAUAUCAAAAUAAAAUACUACAGCAAACAUGCAGCAACACAUAUAUUCAGUCAAUAAACCACCAAGAUUGUUUAUCACUCAACCACAAAUAAAUUUAGUUCAUGAUUUGUAAAAAAAAAUAAAGAAUAAAGUUUCAGCCAUCAAAUAUGUCCCCAUGAAUAAAAAGUAUACAAGAAAAAAAGAGAAUAAUAAAAAGGACUGAGCUCCCAAUUGAUUUCUGCAAAUUCUCCUCUUGUGCAGCCCUCAAUCUCUCUCUUGAAUCUUAUUUUUCCUUUGUUUCUUUGCGGUUUUUCUCUUUAGGUGACGGCUCCCCCUUUUCCUUAUGAUGUGUGCUCCUUUUAUAGUUGAAAAUUAGGGUAAACGAAAGUCUAAGUCGCAUGUCUUCUAAAUUAGGAAACUGCAGAUCACAAUAUUUUACAAAAUUUUCUUUGUCGUUAUUCCAAGAUUGCUACAGUAACCAUUGCUACAGUAACCAUUGCUACAACAAUAACUACAGCAACUACACUAUUCCAGAUUUGUUUCAAUUUUUCUGUAGCCAAGUUCUUUUCCAUCUUUUACAAGCUUAUUGCAACAGCAUUCCUUCCUUAAAAUUUAAGCUUCUAAUCACCUACAAUUAUGCAUACAAUCUACGCACACAAAAUUAUUCUAAAACAACGCAAUUUAUUAAAAAUAAAUUAAAAUAGUUAUUCAUGCAAAAUAAAACUAAAAUGCAAUAAAAACAUGUCAUUUAUUCUCUAAGUAAUAAUGAUUUAAUAAUAAAAUUACCAUGAUAACUCUCAUUUCAUAGAGUUAUCAGUUAUCCUUUCUUGUUGCUUUGUUUAGCUUCCUAUAAUCCAUGUAACUCUAUCCAGUCACUAUUUUUGUGCGAAUAAUCUAGUUUUUUUUUUCAUUUGCUACCACUGUUACUCUACCUUUCUUUGGAACACAUGAUACUAGACUUACCCAGAAGCUAUCUAAUAUUCGAUAAAUAAUUCCAGCAUCAAGUUACUUAAUGAUCUUCUUCUUCAUCACUUUCUUCAUGAUGGGAUUUAAUCUUCUCUGUUGCUCUACAAAGUUACCGUAGAGUCUUCCAACAAAAUCAUGUGCAUGCAUAUGGAUAGGCUAAUUCCUUUUAUAUAUAUCAUGGUUCAUCCAAUAGCCUUCUUAUGUCUCCCUAAUACAUACACCAAGCUCUUUUCUUGAUUUGCAUUUAAAAAGAUGAAAUAAUUACAAAAAGUGUGUCAUUGUCAUCGAGAUAUGCAUAUUUCAAAUGUGAAGGAAGAAGUUUUAAUUCUAAAAUAAAAGGUGACUUAAUAGAAAGAACAGAAGGUUUUACUUCCUUGUUUGAAAGAUCAAGUGAUUCAAAGUGCUUGUCUAUUCUGAAGGAUUGCUUCUCUCCUAACCAUGUUAUAUUGGCUGCUUCAGGAUCUUCAUCUUCAAGUUCUUCAAAUGUUACAGCCUUGAUUUCUUUAUUUCUGCAGCAACUAUUUACUUGUUCUACUAUAGUAAAAUCCUCAAAACUGAUAAAAUUACAAUCUUUUACAUCAUCAGAACUCUUAACAAUAUUCAGCACAUUAAAUGUAACUUGCUGAUCAUUCAACUGCAUAGUCAAUUCUCAUUUCUGCACAUCAAUCAAAGUCUUUCCCGUGGCUAAGAAAGGUCUACCUAAAAUGAUUGGUACUUCUUUGUCUGCCUUAAAGUCUAGCACAAUGAAAUCCACUGGAAAAAAAAAUUUAUCUACCUUUAUUAAUAUAUCUUCAAUCUUCCCUUUUGGAUAGGCGUGAGAUUUGUCAACAAGUUGUAAAGUCACUGUUAUUGGCCUAACUUCUCUAACUCCCAAUUGCUUGAACACUGAUAAAGGCAUAAGAUUGAUGCUAGCCCUUAAAAAUAAAGUGCCUUACCACUGUAUUUAGUUCUUAUGGAGUAUGGAAUUGUAAAGCUCCAUAGAUCCUUCAACUUCUGAGGUAUUUUAUUUUGAAGCAUUUGGCUACACUCUUGUGUCAAAGCAAUUGUUUCAAAUUCUCCAAGCCUCAUUUUCCUUGCUAAAAUAUCUUUCAAGAACUUCACAUAAUUUGGCAUUUGUUCAAAAGCUUCUACAAAAGGAAUGCUGAUAUGUAGCUGCUUCAGCACUUCAAAAAACUUGCUGAAUUACUUGUUUUACUUUUGCUUUUGAAAUCUUUGGAGAAAGAGUGGUGGUGGGUGUUUAAAUUUUUGUGCUACAGCAGGUUAUACAUGCUGCUUCUUUUUUACCUUAUUAUUAACUGAUGUGGUUAGUACUCUGUAGUAUCUUCUUCCACCAUUGCUAGAUCAUUAUUUUCUACUAAUACUGUAGCUUGGUUAUUCACAUCAGUGGCUAGAAAAUGGGUUGUUGUGGCUCCUGUUCAACUUGAUUUUCUUCUUAGAUUGGAGUGGGUUAAACUAUUCUCUUUGGCACUCCAACUGGAAUAUGAAUAUCGUUUACAGACCUUAAGUUAAUCACCUUACAAUAUUUUUUUCCUUAUCUUCCUAUAUCUUUUAUAUUGUUGGGUAAAUUGCCCUAAGGUCUAUUACUCAAUGCUGUAGCAAACUGUAUAAUAUGAUUUUCUAAGCUUCUUAAUUAUACAGCUUGACUCUGAACAACAACUUCAUUUUUCAUAAUAGACUCCUUAAUCAAAGCUUUAAAGAACUAAGUUGAUCAUUACUGAUGUUUCGUUGCCUUUGAUUUUGCUGGUGAAAUAUAGGUGAUUGACUAGGCCUGUAUUGUCCACUGAAUACUGCAUCAUGUUGAUUCUGGUUGCUCCAUGUGAAGUUUUGAUGUUGUCUCCAUCUAGGGUUGUAAGUGUUUGAAUAUGGAUUGUUCUAGUUCUGUCUGCUGAAGUUGCCCACAUAGUUAACUGAGGUUGGAUUUCCAAGACAAUUGUUAAAUAAGUGUCAUUCUUCACAGUAAACGCAGGAUGCUUCAACAAUUUGGUUGACAGUUGUUGGAGCAAUAGUAAUACCCUUUACCAUAUUUGUUAAUGAGGUUACUUGGGCUGAUAAUGCUAUCAAGGCUUCUGUUGUUCCUCUCGUUGUUGCAGCUUGUCUGGUAGAUGACCACUGAUAGUUGUUAUUGGCUAUCCCUUUCUAAAAUUUUAAAAGUCUCAUUAUACGACUUAGAUAGAAAGGCCCCACUUGCUGGAGCGUCCACCAUUAAUCUAGUGCUUGGGUUGAGACCAUUGUAGAAGGCUCUAACUGUAUACAGCAAAGAAUGCCAAGAUGAGGACAUCUCAUGAGUAACUCUUUAAAUCUUUCUCAUGCACCAAACAAGCUUUCAUCUCCAAUUUGAUGGAAAGAUGUGAUUGCGUUCCUCAAUUUUACAUUUUUCCUCGGUGGAAAGUAUUUCAUCAAAACUAUAUCAGCCAAGUCAUUCCAUGUGGUGAUGGAGUUAGGCGGUAGGAAGUUCAACCAUGCUCUUACUUGAUCCCUUAAAAAAAAUAGCUAAAGUUUGGGCCUCAAUGCCUCCUGUAAUGCUCCAGCAAUCUUGAAGGCGUCACUUACCUCCAAAAAUAAUUUAAGGUUCAGACAAGGAUCUUUUGAUGGUAGUUUAUUAAAUUGCCCUAUUGUUUGUAGCAUCUGAAACAUCACUGGUUUGAGCUCAAAAUUAUGAGCUUUCAUUUCAAGUCUAACUAUUCUAGGGUUUAUAGUUUAAGGGUCAACACUGCAUAAUCUCUUAUGGCUCUAUCUCUAUCAUCUGCCAUAUGAAUAAUGUUGUUGUUCCCUAGUUGCCCAUAAAUAAUAUGCAUAUUCUGACCUUUUUGACCUCCUUAUGCAUUUACUAGUUGUAUUUCACCUCAGAAGUUCAAAUUCAUCACAUCUUGUAAAUCAUCCAUUGUUACAGCAGCUUUUGAAUUUCUUUGAUCGUUUCUCAAUCUUCUUGCAGUUCUUUCAAUUUCUAGAUCAAAGUGGAAUUUAACAGGUUUAUAUUUACGCAUGCAAGGGUUGCUAGAUCACUUCUAUCAACAAACUAAACAAAUUAAAAUAAAAUUAAAAAUUAGCAUCGUUUAAGAUUAAUUUCGCAAAUCACAAUGAACAAUCAAUCCCCUACAAUAAGGCCAAAAACUUGUUGUGUGUUUUCUAUUGCUAUGGAUGUCAAUGUGCAAGUGUACACAAUAAGUAAUACACUGAUGAAUAUUUAGAUCAUCUCCACAGGGAUUGAUGCUAUCAGAUUUGCUACAACAAUCUUAACAGCACAAUUUUGUUCUAAUUAANNNNNNNNNNNNNNNNNNNNNNNNNNNNNNNNNNNNNNNNNNNNNNNNNNNNNNNNNNNNNNNNNNNNNNNNNNNNNNNNNNNNNNNNNNNNNNNNNNNNGGAUGUAAUCAAUGGAAAUGAGUAGCUGAGUGAAUAAACUCACUUAAUGGCAUGACUUUGUUUUUUUAAAUUACAGUACCAUUGAUACAACAUUUACUACGGCACAAGAUAGAAUCCCUCAUGCAUCCUCAGCUGCCGUCUGCUAGAUAUCUUAUACUUAAUGCAACCUAAUAAUGACCAAUUGUUACGCCAACAUUAAAUAUAAUAUUAAAUGUUCUAGGCUCCACUUACCUUACAAGGUGAAUCUCUAUACCUAAUUCUUUACUAAUUUUAGAUCAAGUAUGACCCUAUUCAAAUUGAGAUUUACUCAAUUUGGGAAACCUAUUUAAAACCAAGUAUUGUCUUAAUUGGCUCCACUAAAUGCAUGGUCAUCCAAAAUAGGGAAUUGAAAUAAAUACAAUUAAGACAAAAUAUUAUAGCAAAUACAGAGCAAAACACAUAUGUCAGUCAAACAUCCAUUAAGAUUAUUUAUCACUCAACCACAAUAAAAUUUAGUGUAUGAUUUGUAAAUAAUAGUACAUAAAAUUGUUAUAGUCAUCCAAUACAUACGCAUAAUUAAAUAAAAAACAAGAAAAGAAGAAGAAGAACUGACGUCCGCUUGGUCUUUAUGAUUUCUCAUUUGUUUCCUCCUUGAGUCCUGUAUUUUGGCCUUUAAUCUUUCCCUUAAUUUCAGUUUUCUUGUUGUUUUUGUUCGAAAUUCUCCUUGGGUGACGGCUUUCUCUUUUUCUUUUCAUGCGUGCUCCUUUUAUAACUUAAUAUUAGGGCAACUAAAAGUGUGUAGCACGUAUCUUGCAUUUUUGUAAACUUUAGAUCCCAAUCUUUUAGUUAUAGCCCGCGAAAUCCAGUUUGUCGGUGCUACAUGAUUGCUACAGCAACGACUACAGUAUCUCACUAAUCUAGACUUCUUUUAACUCCUCUGUAGCCAAGUUCUUUCAUUAUCUCUGCAAGUUUGUUGCAGCAGCAUUCCUUCCCUAAAACUUGAGUUUUUCGGUCACCUAUAAUCAUGCACAUAAUCUAAGAACAAAAAUGACCUAAAGCAACUCAAUUUAUUAAAAAUAAACUAAAAUGGAUACUCAUGCAAAAUAUAAUUAAAAUGCAAUAAGAACACAUCAUUUACUCUCUAAAUAAUAUCAAUUUAGAUUUAAAAGUGGCAUGAUAACUCUUAUUUGAUAGAGUUAUCAACUACUCCACUUGUCUUUCCAGCUAAGCCAUGAACAUAAGUCUUGAGGGACAUACCUGUAAAGCUGGAUAUAAAUCCUUUUUUCAUAAGAGUUUCUAACCCUUUCUCACCAAUGUGACUAAGUCUUUUACGCCACAUCUCAAUGUCAAAAUCUUUUACAACCAUAUUCACAUCUUCUUUCUUAAUCUUGGCUUCAAUCACACUAAGAGUAUUUACUUUCCUCCCUUUAGCUAACAUUAGGGAGCUUUUGGUGGGCUUCCAUUUUCCUUUACCAAAUUGGUUGAUAUAACUAUUGGCAUGACUCAAAAGUGUUAUUACUUCCAAGUAUAAGAGUGUUUAGUUAUAAUAUAAUCCGGUGAGCCUGUGGUCGAACCACAAGGAAUUUAAAAUCUAGUAGUCAAUUUAUUAAACUAAGAAAAUUUAAUACGAGAAAAGAAACUAAUCUGAAUCAAUCUAAAAAUAUGCUAAGGUUACGGGAUCCACUCUCAGAUUCCAAAUUAUGGUUAUAACACUUUCUGAAAUUUUAUAUUUUAUAUUUUAUAUUUCUUUUACUAGUUAAUUAUUAUACCAUUUAAUUUUAAACUAACCAUUAGUGUGAUAAAUAUGUGAUUAAGUACCUAUAAAAUCACAAAACAAAAUUAUAAUAAUGCAAAAGAUAAAAGAACAGUAAAAUAAAAUGAUACCAUCCAGUUUUCUUAUAAACUAGCAAACAAGGUCUUUUAGAGUUAAAUUUCUAAGACUAAACUGUUCACUUUCCUUUUGGAACAGUUUCUAUAAAUUAUGAAUCUCACAUUGCACAUAUCUGCUCGGAUGCGCCUCAAGAGAUUGUAAGAUAUCAUCUAACAAUUCUUUACUCAUGUCAUCCUUAAUAAAUUUGAUUUUAUCUUCACAAUUUACAAAAAAACUAUUCCUAAAGUUGUACAAUGUGGUUUAUUCCAAGCAAGUCUUACACAGUGAGGACAUUUAGAGCCAAGUCGCUUAACUCUUCUUUUCUUUUAGCAAAUGUACUUUUACGAAAACCAGACAUGUAGGAAAUAAAUGGAUUAGAAAACUUACCCACCAGUCAGACCUUUACUUCAAUUAACUAACGAAUGUCAGUAGGAAUCCCAUUGAUCAUUAACAAAUGUAGUCGUUCACAACGAGCUUUGUAAAUCUUCUUAAGAGCAUUUUGAGGGAGAGGAGGAAAACACUUAUGCAAUUUAUGUUGUAUUUCAUCCACGCUUGAUUUUGAGGUUUCAAUUAUUGUGGGAAACUAAAAAUACCGACUUAAAAAGUCACGAAUUAGAGUUAUCUGCCAUUUAUACGGGAGAGUAAAUCAAAACAUAUCAAAGAAACAAAUCAAAUCUGUAAAAUCAAAUAAAAAAUGAAGAAGAACAACAAAAUAAAAACACAUAAUGAAUAUAAUAUGUAACUUACCUUCAUCCUUUUAUUGAAUUUACCUCCAGUUCUAAUUUGCAGUUCAUAAAUACCAUCUUCUAUUUCUUUGAGUUGUCUUUUUAAAUCUUCAACGUGGAAUACUAACACUGGUGGUUGUAGACCCAAAUAGGAUGUGAUUUACAAAUUCGAAGCAAGUUUCUCAAGUGAAAUUUAACAUGUGAAAGUUCUCUAAGAUGUUUGAAAACGAUCCUUCUCAUGGGGGUACUCAUGACAUGUUAAAAAAAGCUCAACUAAAACACAAUUGUCAAACAACACACUUAAAUAAGAAGUAAUAUAAUGCACUUUAUUCAAGACAUAAAGAAAAAGAAAAAAAAUCAAACAAUUCAAACGGUGAAGUAAUAGUAAAACAAUUUCACGAAAAGUUAAAACAAAAAAGCUUAAUUAAGAUUUGGUGGGUCACUCAAAUUGAUUUCAGUAUAUGCUUCACAUGGUUGGUGUUUCAGAUAUGGUUUCAAUCUUUGAUCAUUAACUUUAAAUAUGACACAUCCUUUGGAUUCUUAAGUUCUACAGCCCCAUAUGAAUAUAUAUUUUUUACAAAAAAUGGGUCAUUCUACUUUGACUUUAACUUCUUUGGAAACAAAUAAAAACGAGAAUUAUAAAGCAAUACUUUUUGACUAAUCUCAAAUGUUUUCUGAAAAAUUCUUUUAUCAUGAAAAACUUUGGUUCUUUCCUUAAUAAUUCUAUAAUUAUCUUAUGCAUUAUUCCUUAAUUUCUCAAGUUCAUUCAAUUGCAAUUUAUGCACAUUACCAGCAUCAUCAAGAUUUGAAUUAAAAGCUUUAAUUGCUCAAAAUGAUUUAUGCUCAAGUUCAACCGGUAAGUGGCAAGGUUUAUUAUAAACAAGUCGAUAGGGUGACAUUCCUAAAGAUGUUUUAAAAGUAGUACAACAUGCCCAAAGUGCAUCAGUUAGUCGAAGAGACCAAUCUUUACAGUUUGAGUUAACUGUCUUUUCUGAAAUUUGUUUUAUCUCCCCAUUUGCUAAUUCAACUUGACCACUUGUUUGAGGGUGAUAAGGGGUAGCAACUUUAUGUGUAAUUCCAUAUUUCUUCAUUAAGGACUCAAAUGACUUAUUACAAAAAUACUUACCUCCAUCACUGAUAAUGCCUCAAGGUAUUCCAAAUCUGUUCAAAAGAUUUUCUUUUAAAAAUUGGAUCACAGUUUUGUGAUCAUUGUGCCAAUAAGAAAUCGCCUCAAUCUAUUUUCAAAUAUAAUCAACAACAACCAAAUUAUAUAAAAAUCCAAAUGAUGAUGGAAAAGGGCCCGUAAAAUCAAUUCUCUAACAAUCAAAUAUUUCAAUGACAAGGAUGGGGUUUAAAGGCAUUAUGUUUCGCUUUAAAAUAGACCCUACCAUCUGAUAAUUUUUACAUACUUUGCAAAAUGCAUAUGAAUCUUUAAAUAAUAUAGGCCAAUAAAAUCCACACUGUAAUAUUUUUGUAGUUGUCUUUUUUGAAGAAAAGUUGCCACCACAUACUUCAGAAUGACAGAAUUGAAUGACCCUACUUACCUUAUCGUAUGGUACACAUCUUCAAAAAAUUUGAUCUGACCAGUACUUGAAUAGGUACAGAUCAUCCCAAUAAAAGCAUUUUACUUCUGUUAAGAAUUUCUUCUUAUCUUGGGAACUACAGUUACAUGGCAUUUCACCUAUUGUAAAAUAAUUAACAAUAUUAGCAUACCAAGACAUUUUGUUUAUAGAAAACAAAAAUUCAUCAGGGAAAAAAUCAUUGAUGGGUGUUGUUUCAAUUGAAGACUCAUUUGUAAGUCUUGAAAGAUUAUCUGCAACAACAUUUUUAGUGGCCUUUUUGUCCUUGAUUAUCAAAUUAAAUUUUUAAAGUAGCAAAAUCCAUCAUAUCAAUCUUGGCUUAGCAUCCUAUUCAGACAUUAAAUAUCUAACAGCAACAUCAUCAGAAUAAACAAUAGUAGAUGAACCAAUUAAAUACAAACAAAAUUUAUCCAGUGCAAAAAUUACAACAAGUAGUUCUUUAUAAGUUGUGGUCUAAUUUAUUUGAGCAUUAUUUAAAGUUCUACUUGCAUAAUAGAUAACAAAAGGUCUACCUUCCUUCUUUGCCCCAGAACAAAGCCAACGGCAUAAUCACUAACAUCACACAUUAGCUUAAAAGGAAAAGACUAAUCAGGGGGUUACAUCAUUGGAGCUGAUGUCUGUUGUGCAAAUUUUAAUGUACUCGCAAGCGCACGAAUCUAUUGUAGUAUAGAUCAAUGGUAACGAGUGUCGAUCCCACGAUGAGGUGGAUUUUAAUUGUGUAGAAUUAAUUUUGUAAAUGGGUGAUUGGAUUUGUGGUGGAAAUGAUUUGGAAUAUGCUAAAACUUAAAUUAAAAUGGCGAGAAUAAAUUCUAAAAUUGGUAUUGAAAUGGCGAGAAUAAAUUGAAGAGAAUUCUAUUGAAAUGACGUACUUGGGUAUCUGGAUCCGUAUCAACAUGCAUCAUGGGCUAAAUAAUCCUUAUUAAUGCCAAUAAAAUCAUGAGGGGGGAAUCCACACUUCAUGAACCACGCUCUAAUAAAUAUGGUGCUAAGAGCUAAAUAAUAAUAACCUUGUACUAGAGAGCUGGUUUAACCAAGGCGGUAUCUAGACAAGAUUAUUAUUAUUUGUCGACGAGAAGUCAAAACAUCCACAAAAACUAGAGGGGAAGAGAAAAUAAAUUUACCAAAUAAAGCUCAUGACACAUGUUGAGACUUCACCUUCAACCCAAGCUUGAAAGAAAAUUAGCCACUCAUAAUUGAACUAGGGGCAAAAAUAGAAAUUUAUUAAAAUACAUAAAAAAAUACAAGAUGGAGAAGGAAUUACAGAAAAUGAAUCCCAAAAAUGGAUUUAGAGAUAUCAAAUUAGGGGGGAGAAACCCCUUUUUUAUAGAUACAUGGAGUAAAUCAUGGCCAUCGGAUUAAAAACAGUUUGGACGCUCAGGAUUACGCCACGUCAUCAGUCAACAGUAUGCGGUUUGACCACGUGGAUGAACAGUAACACGGUUUGACCCGGGUUGAACAGUAACAUGGUUUGGUUGAAAAUAAUCCUGUGUGAUGCAUGUACCGUACGCGAGAUUUUUCGUCCACUGAUAUGCUGCCACGUCACCAUCAACAGUACAUAAGAAUUUUAGUCCAACAGGAUCGUGACACCUCAUCAGUCAAUGCCACAUCAUCGAUCCGUAUAUGUGAACAGUGUCGUGAACAGUAACGUAGACAGUACCGUACACGUGAAUAAUGCUAUUUUUCCUUUUAUGCUCCUCCUAAGGUUUUCGACCGUCCUGAGUUCAAAAGUGAUGUCCGUUUUACCGUCUAAUCUCUCUUUUAUUGUGAAAUGACUAUAAUGCCCCUAAAAUACAUAAAAUACUUAAUUAAAAUAAAACACAUGUAAUUAAAUCACAAGAGGGUUAAAUACAUAAAAGUAAGGGUUGUUAGUAAGACUUGAAAUGUAAAAUGACGGUUUUCUCCUUUAUAAAUAUGCAUUUUCUAACACUCAACAAUGUCUAAAGACUAAUUAUCUUUUCAAAAGCUUGUUGACAAUCUUUAAUCCAUUUAAAAGGUGGGUCUUUUAUUAGGAGGUUACAAAGUAGUCUAGAUAUGGCACCCAAAUAUUUUACAAACCUCUUAUAAAAUCAUGCGUAUUCUAAAAAGGAAACAAACUUCUCUAAUUGUCUUUGGUGACGGUAAUUUUAAGAUGACUUCAACUUUUCUUUGUCAACUUCAAUUCCUUUUGAAGACACGAUAUGGCCCCAAGACAAUUCUAGAAAUGGUCAUGAAAUGACAUUUUUCCCAAUUUAAAACUAGUCCUUUUUUUUUACACCUUUCCAAAACUCUUUUUAGAUUAUCAAGACAUGUAUCAAAAGAAUUACCAAAUACAGUUAAAUCAUUCAUAAAAACCCCUAGACAAUUUUCAACCAUAUCACUAAAAAUACUUAGCAUACAUCUUUGAAAUAUUGUAGGAGCAUUACAAAGUCGAAAAGGCAUUCUCCUAAAUACAAAUGUUCCAAAUGGGCAUGUGAAUGUGAUUUUUUCCUGGUCUUCUAAGGCUAUAGGAAUUUGAUAAUAGCUAGAGUAGCUAUCAAGAAAGCAGUAGUAGGGGUGUCCAGCUACGCUUUUGAAAAUUUAAUCUAUAAAUGGAAAGGAAAAAUGAUCUUUUCUAGUGGCAUCAUUUCAUUUUCUGUAAUCAACGCACAUGUACCAACUAGAUGGAAUUCGUAUUGGGAUUGGUUCACCUUUUUUAUUUUUUUAAAACUGUUAUCCCAGAUUUCUUUAGUAUUACUUGUGUUAUCCCCAGCAAUUGCUCCAAAAACUUGACACCACUAAAAAAUGUUAUUAUUUCAAAGUAUAAGAGUGUCUAGUAAUAAUAUGACUCAGUGAGUCCAAGGUCAAACCACAAGAAUUUAAAAUUUAGUAGUCAAUUUAUUAAACUAAGAAAAUUUAAUGCAGGAAAACAAAUUAAUCUUAAUCAAUCUAAAAAUAUGCUAAUGUUAUGGAAUCCAUUCUCAUAUUCCAAAUUUGGUUAUAACACUCUCUUAAACUUUAUAUUUUGAAUUUCCUUUACCAAUUAAUUAUUAUACCAUUUGAUUUUUAACUAACCAUUAGCGUGAUAAAUAUAGGACUAAGUACUUAAUGUACCACAACUAUAUUGAAGUAUCGACAUUAUGUCAAAAUAUCAUAUAAAUCGAAGAGAUUUGUAUUUAUAAAUUAAAACGACAUAAAAGAAACAAGUAAGGAAGAAAAAUAUAAAUAAAUAAACUAAACUUCAAGACUCCCUUGAGAGAGUAAUUAAUUCAAUAAUUUGAAUUCUUGAGUUUCACCUUUCACCCCAUCUUAGAAAAUUUAGCCACUCAUAUUGGAAAACAGAACACUCAUUUUAUUUAACAAAUUUUUGAAAUCUAUUAUACGAAGAUUGAUUACAGAAGAAAACAAGAAAAAAAGACAAAAGGAAUUCCUCAGCUUUCUCCCGUUCUCUCCUUCCCAGCUGUGCCCUUAUUUGCUUACAUCCCCUUGCCUUUUAUGGGCAAGGGGAGCGUCCUAUUUUUUUUAUUAUUUUAUUUUAUAAUAUAUAUAUACAUUGAGAUGUGUGAUGGUCAGGUGGCAAGAUGGCCACUUGACCAUCAUGAGCAUGGUUGCUCACCUUUUCUUUUCUUUUUUUAAUUUUUAAUUUUUAAAAAAUAUUUAUUAAUUACAUCUCCUCAAUGAUGCAUUUUAAAUUGCUCCAUCAGUUCUUCUUUGUUCCCACUUUUAAUUCUAAUUCUAUCUUUAUUCUUGAAAAAUAUUUACAAGAAAAAAAAAUAACAUAUUGCAGAUUAAUUUAAUGUAAAAAAUUAUUAGGGGAGCAUUCAUAUAAUUUAUAAGUUAUGAGGGCAUUAAUCAAUACUUUUAGUGAAAAACUAAUAAUUUUUAUCCUUAUUACAUUUACACUUUUUAGUGUUAAUCAACCAUCAUCAUCAAGUUUGCCUGUAGAGAUCAAAUUAAGGCUAAUAUCUGGUACAUAUAUGAUAUAUUUAAGCAAGAACUUACAGUCAAUGUUGGUUUCCAAGAAAAUAUCUCCCACAAUCUUGGAUGCCCCCUCAUUUCCCAUCCAAACAUGGCCAUAAUCACCAUUAACAUCAUUUGUAUGGCAAGUGAGAUUUAAUGAGCUAUCAUUAUAAACAAUACUCAAAUCGCCAUCAACUAUGCUUGUAGUGUUCUCUUCUCUAUUACCCUGGAGUUGAACUACAUUGAACAAAUGCAGACACUAAAAUAACUUAUCCAUCUCAAAUUGUAUUUGUUAGAAUUAAGAGUUAUUUUUACAAAGGAUACAAGUAGUCUUUUAACAUUGUGUUUAUAUAUAUAUAGAGAGAGAAAGAGAGAGAGAGAGAGCUAUUGUAUUAUGCAUUUUUUUCUGGGGAAUAAUAUAAACCCAUUUUUUCUUCUAUGAUCCUAGCUAACAUGGUAUUAGUGUUGGGAUUAUAUGCUCUUUCAAAACAUAUUAAUUUAUUUUCUGAUUAAUAAAAUAUCUGAGAUAUUUUCAAUUGCAUAAAUAUAUUUUGAUUAAAGUCUAUUUAAUCAUAUUAUAUGUAUUUAUGUGAUCACAGAAGACAUAAAUACAAGUUAUCUUAUGAUUAAAUAAAUAAAUUUAGUUCACAGUUGAUAAAUAAAGUUGGGCACUUUAUUUAAGUUUAGACUGUAGUAAAUUGAUUGAAUGAUUUUGUCUUAUUCCAUUAGGAAUUUACGAAGUAAUUUUGAUUACAUUGAGCUGGGAUCACAUAUGAGAUUUAUUACCCUUGAAUGACGUUCGAAUUAUUAAAUUUCAUAAGGCAAGGAUUUACCGUAAUAUUAUUCUUGAGUAGUUUUGAUUUCAUGAUUAUAAUAGAUAUUAUAUUGGAGUUACCAAUAGGGCACGACACACAAUUGUGGUCAAGAUUACCCGGUAUCUUGGUGGGAGCAAUUAGGAGUAUUGGAAGUUAUAGAUUAACAAUAUAAAAUUGGUACAACACAUCUCUUGAUGGUUUUUCGGCACUUGAUCAUAGAAUUCUCUGGCUAGAGUGUGUCAACAUAUUUAGUAUGUUAAAAAUGAUCAUUAGAGAAAACCAGUAAGUAUCAAGGAAUAAGAUGUAAUUAAAUCGAUUGGACAGUUGAGAUAUCGAUUUAAUUAAUGAUGUGGUACAAAGGAUUACGCAGUAAAGAAAUCAAUGUGGCUUGGGAUGAAUUAUUAUUUGAGCAUACAAUUAUGGAGGUCAGUUCCAAUCUUUUAGUGGAGUAAAUUUGGAAUUAAAUAAUUGGGCUAAUUUAAUUACAAGCCUAAUUAUUGUAGUCACUAUUGUAUGUUCCCAAAUGAUCCUCGGGUUAGCUCAUUUAAUUGACUGCACCGCUACUGGAUUAAUAAACAAGAUAACUAGUUAUUUGAGUUAAAAGCCUAAAUAUGUUAUUCAGUGGGAGGCUCCAUUAAUAUGCUUGAGUGUAAGGGGCCUUGUGAUAUUUUACAAGGCAGGCCCCUAUAACACAAGAACGAGUAACAUGAAUUUUGUUUUAAUUAUUUUUUAAUUUAAAUCAAAUGGGAUUUAAUAGAAUUAAAAAAUAAAUAAAUAUGGAGCCUAGGGUUUCCACAAAAUAGAGAUAUAAAAGGCUUAUUUUUCUAAAGAAAAAAAAAUAGAGCAGUCACUUUAUACAGAUCAGAGAAAAAGAUUUUUCUCUCUAUUGUUGAGAGAAAAAUUUCCUCGUGCUAGUUACUUUAGUGGUGAUAAAGGCGCUCAUAUGUCAAGUGCAGAUCAAACCUGAGUCAUAACCUGGAAGAUCAUUGGUGACAAUUCGUGAUCUAACAGGCGUGGUGGUGAUAGAUCGUGAUCUAAGAGAAGUUAUGGUGACGAAUCGUGAUCUGGGAGCCUAAAUCACUUCAGCGGAAAAAACCAAAUCGGAUUUUCAAGGUACGAUUUCUAUAUUACAAAUUCUUAUAUAUUGUAUGAGAGCAAUCUUAAAAGGUUUUAUAAAAAAUUUAAAAAACUGAUUUUUCUCCAACAAUUAGAGCCGUCGAAAAAAAAAAAGUUUAGCGGCCAUCACCCAAAUGACUUUAUCAAACCAUAUAACCUCCACCAUCACUCAAAUCAACAUACCAAACAAUAGAUAUUGUUAUCAUCAUGGCUGCCCGAUCUGUAGCUCCUGUUGGAGAACUAACAAAUAAAACACACAAAAAACACACUAUUUUAUUUCUUCAACGACACUCCUCGCCAAUUACAACUCUUAUUUUUCAUUUUCUACACCUUAGAGAUUUUGUUACUUCACUUAAUGCUUAAACCAAAGGGGAGAGGGGGUAUUUAUACAUGAUACAAACGAAUCACAACCAUUCAUUUAUUCAACUACUACAUAAAUCCUCACCAUUCAUUAAAACCUACCACUCACCUACUUCACCAACCACACCUACCACACCUAACACAAAUAAUUCAAAAUUCACCAACCAUACCUACUCAUGGAAUCUUCCAUGAGUUGGGCUUGAAUUUAUUCAUCUUGGAUCAAGUUUAUGAUCCAACACCUCCCCUUAAACUUGAUCCUAUGACACCAAGCAAACUUCUGUAUUUUACGAAGUCUUUUUGCUUGAGUGGCUUAGUGAAGAUAUCAACUGCUUGAUCUUGUGAUUUUACAUACUUGAUUUGCACUUUUUUUCUUGCAAUACACUCUCUUAUGAAAUGAUAGCGAGUGUUUAUGUGUUUGCUUCGAUCAUGAAAGACUGGAUUCUUAGAUAGGGCAAUUGCUGAUUUGUUAUCAACACAAAUCUCGGUUGGCUCUUCUUGUGGCAAACCCAACUCCUUCAGUAAAUUUCUGAGCCAAAUUGCAUGACAAACACUUGAUGUGGCAGCUACAUACUCAGCUUCACAAGUGGAUAACGUGACAAUAGGUUGCUUCUUUGAUAUCCAUGUGAAAGCAGUAUCUCCCAUGAAUAACACAAAUCCUGUGGUGCUUUUCCAAUCAUCUAUAUCUCCACCCCAAUCACUAUCGCUAUAUCCAACAGGCUUGUAGUCAUUAGAAAAUGAGUAUAACAAGCUGAAAUUAGUUGUACCUUUGAUGUAGCGAAGGAUUCUUUUUGUAGCUUUAAAAUGGGUGGUCUUUGGAUUCUCCAUGUAUCGGCUCAUAAGUCCAACAGCAUAAAGGUUAUCUGGUCUUGUGCAUGUCAAAUAACGUAGGCUUCCGACCAAACUUUUAAAGAAUGUUGGAUCUAUAUCUUCGCCUUCAUCAUGUUUGGAUUAUUUAACUCCGCAUUCCACUGGCGUGCUUAUAGGCUUAUAAUCAUUCAUCUUGAACUUCUUGAGAAUUUCCUUUGCAUAGCUUUCUUGGGAGAUAAAUAUGCCUUCUUCCUUUUGUUUGACUUCUAUUCUGAGAUAAUAUGCCAUUAGUCCGAUGUCAGUCAUCUCGAACUCUUUGAUCAUCACUCUCUUGAACUUUUCAAACAAGCUUGGAUUACUUCCAGUGAAGAUAAGAUCAUCCACAUACAAGCACACAAUCAAAAUGUCUCUAGCUUUUUCUUUGACGUAGAGAGCAUGUUCAUAUGGGCAUUUAGUGAAGCCGUUCUCUUGAAAAUACUUGUCAAUUCUGCUAUUCCAUGCCCUUGGUGCUUGCUUUAGCCUAUAAAGAGCUUUCUUCAAUCUCAAAACUUUGUCUUCAUGUCCUUUCACCACAUAGCCUAAUGGUUGUUCGAUAUAAACUUCUUCUUCAAGGAAUCCAUUCAAGAAAGCAGACUUCACAUCCAUUUGAAAAAUCUUUCAUUUUUUUUUUAGCAACCAAAGAAAUAAUAAGUAUAAUAAUUUCAAGUUGAGCUACAGGAGCAAAUACCUCGUCACAGUCUAUGCCAGCCUUUUGACUAUAGCCUUUUGCAACUAGCCUCACCUUGUGCCUUUUAAUUUCUCCCUUCACAUUUCUUUUUGUUUUAUACACCCAUUUGACACCGAUCACCUUGUGACCUUUGGGAAGAGUAGUAAGCUCCCAAGUAUCAUUCUUCACAAUGGCUUUGAUUUCUUUAUCCAUUGCAAUUCUCCACUUCUCAUCUAGUGCAGCGUCUUGGAAGUUGAUUGGCUCACAAUCAGCAAAGAGGCAAAAGAGAGUGAGAUUAUCAUGUCUUUCAGUUACCUCAUAAAGAUCUUGAAGACUCCUUGUACGUUCUUCGGUUCUUUCAUUUAAGAAAGACGGCGAUGAAUCUCCACAUGUGGUUGAUGCUGGUGAGAUAGGUGGAGUAGUUGGCUCUUGUUGUUCUUCUACUUGUUUUAUCUGUGUAUGAUUAUCUUCUUCAAUGGGAAAGAAGUUGAAGUCAUCCACACCAGAGCCAAAAUCUCAUUCUCCUUCUUCAUCAAAAACUACAUCUCGACUGAUCACGAUCUUCCCGUUGUUUGGAUUGUAAAGCUUGUAUCCUUUGGAGUUGUUGUCGUAGCCGAUAAAGAUGAACUUCUCACUUUUGUCAUCCAGCUUGGCUCUACUUUCAUCUGGUACAUGUACAUGGGCAAUGCUUCCGAAAACUCUUAGAUGGGUGAUGCCGGAUUUUCUUUUACUCCAAGCUUCUUGUGGUGUCUUGCCCCACACGCUUCUUGUUGGAGAUCGAUUGGAUAAGUAGACUGCACAUGCAAUAGCUUCGGCCCAAAAUUCUUUAGGUAGCCUCUUACUUUUGAGCAUGCUUCUUGCCAUGUUGAGGCUGGUUAUGUUCUUCCUUUCUGCAACACCAUUUUGUUGAGGGGAUCUUGGAACUGUCAAAGGGCAUCGAAUUCCAUUUGCUUCACAAAACUCUAAAAAUUCUUUGGAAGUGAACUCUCCACCUCGAUCAGAUCUCAUGGCUUUAAUCUGGUAUCCACUUUCUUUUUCCACUGCAGCUUUAAACUUCUUAAAAGCUUCAAAAACUUUUGAUUUUUCUUCAAAAAAUACAGCCAAGUUUUUCUUGAAAAAUCAUCUAUGAAGAGAAGAAAGUAGUUACUUUUACCAAGGGAGUUUGGCUUGAAUGGACCACACACAUCAGUAUAAAUGAGCUCGAGUGGCUUCUGAACUCUUAAGUUUGACUCCUUUGGAAAGCUCUUUCUGAACUGUUUGCCAAGUAAGCAUCCUUCACAAAGUUGAUUAGGGUGAUUGAUGUAUGGUAAGCCUUUCACCAUGUUCUACUUGAAUAGUAGCUCCAAUCCUCCAAAGUUGAGAUGCCCAUAUCGAAGAUGCCAAAUUUAGGAUGGAUCUUUGUGACAGGUUUUGAGACAUUUUGCAACAUCAUUUUGAAUAUUUAAAGGAAACAUUCUAUUUUUCGACAUUUUCACCUUUGUAAUUAGAUUUCCUUCGUCAUCUCUUAGGAAAAGACUAUAAUCUUUUAAGUGAAUAUCAUAGCCUUUUUCUAAAAGUUGACCCAAACUAAGGAUGUUGCUUUUCAUAUUGGGCACAUAGUAAACAUUCAAAAUUAUUUGGUGGCUACCAUCUUUUGCACGAAAAAGAAUGUUACCUUUACUCUUCACUGGUACUUUUGAAUUAUCUCCAAAAGCGAUACUGUCAUUCACAGAUUCACUUACUUGCACGAACAUGAUUUUAUUUCCACUCAUAUGAUUGCUAGCACCUAUGUUAAGAUACCAUGUAUUUUCUUGACCUUCAAUUGUGUCAUUGCGUGCUAGUAAAAGUGUGUCAUCUUCACCAUUUUUUUCUUCAGCAUAGUUCACUCUCUCCUCAAUUCUGGUGCUUGAAGCUCUGCAUUUUGAAGUAUAAUGCCCAAACUUUUGACAAUUAUAGCAUUGUACUUGAGAUUUGUCAUACCUCGAUCUUGGAUUGCCUCUACCUCAUCCUCUGCUUGAGCUUUCUCCUUUGGCAUAAUUGGAGUUGUUGAAAUUCCAACCUCGUCCAUGACCACGAGCUCUACCACGCCCUCGUCCUCUUCCUCGGACAUAGUGCCUUCUCUCGUUGUCCGGAGCUUUUCUUCUCUUUUCUUUGGAUUAACCUCUAUCUUGAGAAGUUGUUCUUCGAUUCCUUGCUUCUUUUUUAGUUUUUCUUUGUAAGCUUACGACCUUCCUUGAAGUUGCUCAAUCGUCAUAUCCUCUAGAUCUCUUGUUUCUUCAAUUGUCACAACAAUAUGAUCAAACUUCGAGUCUCCUGAUCGAAGUAUCUUUUCAAUGAUCCUUGCCUCUUUUAACUUCUCGCCAUUUCUUUUUAAUUCAUUGGAAACGGUUACAACCUGAGUCAAGUAGUCAGAAAUUGACUCCGACGCCUUCAUGUGUAAGGACUCAAAUUCUCCUCAUAAUGUUUGGAAACGAACCUUCUUUACAUUCUCCGCUCCUUUGUAAGAGGUCUGUAGUUUCUCCCAUGCUUCUUUUGAGGAGGUUGUACCAGCAAUCUUUUCAAACGCAUCUUCAUCUAAUGAUUGAAAGAUGAGAUACUUUGCUUUAUUCUCUUUCUUUUUCAAGUCUUUUAAAUUCUCCUUCUGCGCCGUAGUUAAAGUGGCUUCAUUUUUUAGCACAAUAAAGCCUUUCUCCACAACAUCCCAUACGUCAUGUGCACCCAAUAGAGCUUUCAUUUUAAUACUCCAAUUGUCAAACUUACUUCCUUUUAAUUGUGGAACUUGAAAUGACAUCAUACCACCAUUUGUCAUAACUCACAAAUUGAAUAAGAAUUUUGAGAUUCUGAAUGCACGGAUGGAUCCAGCACGUCGAAAAACCUUAGGAGGGACUCGAGUCAACUUUCGGUCAACGGUCAACGUCGAUCAAUGGUCAACGCCGGUCAGCAGUCAACGCCGGCUUGGUAGUCUUGGUUCGGUCUGGCUUGGUUCGGCUCGAGUUGGCUCGGUUCAACUUGAUUUAGUUCAGUUCGGCUCGGUUCGGUUCGGUUCGGCUCAACUUGUUUCAACUCAGUGAGUCGACUCAACUCCGGACAGAAACCUUCCGGCGGCGAGUGUGGGCGCGUCCAGUCUCCGAUCGAGAUUAUUUUUGCGGCGUCACGUUCCUAUCGUCGAGAGCUUCGAUUUAAUAUGCUAUAUGACUAUAUAUAACUUCGAACACUAGCUCUGAUACCACUUUAUUGGAGAAUUAACAAAUAAAACACACAAAAAACACACUAUUUUAUUUCUUCAACAACACUCCUCACCAAUUACAACUCUUAUUUUUCACUCUCUACACCUUAGAGAUUUUGUUACUUCACUUAAUGCUUAAACCAAAGGGAAGAGGGGGUAUUUAUACAUGAUACAAACGAAUCACAACCAUUCAUUUAUUCAACUACUAUAUAAAUCCUCACCAUUCAUUAAAACCUACCACUCACCUACUUCACCAACCACACCUACAACACCUAACACAAAUAAUUCAAACUUCACAAACCAUACCUACUCAUGGAAUCUUCCAUGAGUUGGGAUUGAAUUUAUUCAUCUUGGAUCAAGUUUAUGAUCCAACAGCUCCUCCUUAUAUUGGAGUUUCCAUUACAACAAUUAAAUUGAAUAAUGAAAAUUUUGUGUUAUGGUUAAUAGGAGUAGUAAAGUAUUUGACUGCUUAGGGAAAAGAGAAUUACUUGACAGAUAAACUUCCUGCUUGUAAGUUUAAAGAUCAUCGUAAAUGGAUAUAGGAGGAUACUAUAUAUGGAGAUUACUUGGUUAUUUAAUAGUAUUGAACCUUCAGUUGCUACUACCACCAGAUGGGUUCAGAUGAAAAAAGAGUUAUGGGAUUGUCUUAAGGAACGGUUUGGCCAAUUGAAGAAUAUUUCUAGACGUUAUGAGUUGUAUGAAGCUUUUUUCUCAUGUCAACAGGCGAUAAGUCGUUAAAGUGAGUGUUAUGGCAUUCUAGAAGGUUUAUGAGGAGAUCUUACUUUUUAUCACAAUCUAAUUACAAAUGUUGCAAUUCUUGAAAGACAACAUGAAGAACUAUUGGUUGUUGGUUUUCUAUCUAGUUUGAACCCUAAUUAGAGAGUUCGAAAAAUGGUAUUUUGACUGAGAAAAAGUUACCCAACAUAAAGGAAGCAUAUGCAUGCCUCAAGUGAAUGCGCUUGUAUCUUUUAGUAGACGUGGGCGAGGGCGAACCAUUGAACGUGGUCGAGGUUAUGGUAAAAGCACAGGAAGAUGAUGAUUUUUCUGUACUCAUUGUGAACAGACCAAUCAUCCCUCUGAAAACUGUUAGGAUACGUUUGGUAAGCUAGAGUAGCUAAAUCGAAUCCAUUUUAAUCAAGGGAGAAUUCUUCUAUAUAUACACCUUCUUCUGGUAGUACUCAAAACACUCGAGUGCCAUCAUCUUCGGAGCCUAGCUCUUCUACUCUAAGUAACAAGCCAACAACAGCCACCUUAGUAUAAUCAGGCACUCUAAAUAUUUUUUAACAAUCUCCAAUUCUACUCCUUGGAUAAUUGAUGUUGAAACAUCUCAUAUAACUGGUAAUUGUUCUAUUAUUGUUCAUAUUCUCCAUCUUGUUGAUCAUCGUCUAUUUUCCUUACUACUGGUUCUUGAACUAAUGUUGUAGGUGAAGAGAUUGUUCAUGUUGAUCCUAAUUUAUCUCUCUCCUUUAUUCCCCAUGUUAUAAAGUUUCCCAUACACCUUUUAUCCAUUUGUUAAUUGACAAAGAGUCUUAAUUGUUUUGUGACAUCCUAUUGUAUUUUUCAAGAUCUCGGUACAAAAAAAGAUGAUUGAUGGUGGAGAUGAGAUGAAUGGAGUUUAUCACCUUUUACUUCGUUACCUCCAUCUAGUAUUGUUUUUUCAUCUACUGUCUCUUCAGAACAAUGACAUAAUCGAUUAGAACAUCUUCUUCUUCAACUACUUCAUCAUUUUGGAUUUACCAGUUGAUGUCAGUUAUAUGUUAAAUGAUUAGUAAUGUCAUUUGGGCACACAUCAUCACAUUCCCUAUCCUUCUCAAGUUACCGAAGUGAGUUCGCAUCUGUUUGAGUUAGUUCACUGAGAUGUAUUUGGUCUAUGUAACGUUCCAAACUAUCAAGGUUUUAAAUAUUUUAUUACUUCUGUUGGUGAUUGUUCUCGUGCUGCAUGGUAUAUUUGUUAUAAGAGCAAUUUAAAGUACCUCAUGUAUUUGAAUUUUUUUUAAUGAAAUAAGAUAUCAAUUUAGUGUUACUAUUGAAAGUCUUCGUUCCGUCAAUGCCUUGAACUAUCAUCGCUCUACACUUUCUGAGUUUUGUAGGAAACAAAGAAUUAUACAUCAAACCUUUUUCCAUAAAAUGAGUCUAGUUUGGUGUGUAAAUCACUUUUUAUUAUAAAAUACCAUCUUGGUGGUACUAUAGAGCGAUUGAAAGCUCGUUUAAUGGCGAAAUGGCUUACUCAAACUCAGGGUUGAUUAUCUAGAGAUUUUUCCCUGUUGCUCGCCUUAACUCUAUUAGAGUUCCAUGAUUAGUCCCUUUAAUAACUUUAUGCUAAAAACACAUUUUUUUUAUGGAGAUUUAAAGAGAGAAGUGUGCAUAGAGCAACCUCCUGGGUUUGUUGCUUAAGGGAAUCUGGCUUAGUGUAUAAACUAAAGAAAGCCAUAUAUGGUCUUAAACGGUCUCCCUAAGUGUGGUUUGAUAAAUUUAGUGGUUUCUUUAAUCUCUUCGUUUUAAGAGGUACCAGUCCGAUCAUUCAGUUUUUGUGAAGCACACUGUUUUAAGGUACAGUUAUUUUUAUGGUUUACGUUGAUGAUAUAAUUAUAUCUAGAAGUGUUUAUUGUGGCAUUGAAGAACUGAAAGUUCAGUUGAAAGAACAUUUUCAAACCAAAGAUUUAGGUUAGUUGAGGUAUUUUCUUGGCAUUGAAUUGGCUAGAGGAAAGCACAAUUUGGUGUUAUGUUAAAGAAAAUAUAUUUGAAGUCUGUUGACUAAAUAUGAAUAAGGCAGAUGAAAAGAAAAGAACGUACAGAAGUUCAAUGAUACUCUUAUGGACCCAAAUCUAAAACUUGAUGUGACAAAUGAUAAGAAAAAUCAUGUCUUUGAAGAUAAAAGAAGGUCCAGAAAUCUAUUUGGAAAAUUAAUUUACUUGACUAUUACUAAACCCAAUAAUACAUUUGCAGUUGGAGCAGUUAGUCAGUAUAUGCAAAAUCUGAGGAAGGUUCAUUGGAAAGUAUUGUGCAGAAUUCUCAUUUAUCUUAAGAAGGCUAUUGGAGUAGGGUUCUCUACAAGCGAGGAAGCACCUUGGAAAUAAAAUGUGGUAUAGCAAAGUCUAGUGUUGGGGCAGAAUAUUGUGCGAUGGCUGAUAUUAUUUGUUCUCAAAUCCAAGGCCUGUCCGUGAUAUAUUGCGACAAUAAGGCUACAACAUACAUUGCUAGUAAUCCAGCUUAGGACUAAGCAUAUUGAUGUGGAUUCAUUUUAUUCGAGAGCAAGUGACAAGUGGUGCCAUUGUUACACCUUAGAUCAAGUCUAAAGAUCAAGUUGCGGAUAUAUUUACCGAAGCUGUGUUCAAGGAACUUUCCUACAUCUUUGUUCCAAGUUGGGCAUUGAGAAUAUCCAUGCUCCUAACUUAAUAUUGUGUUUCCCUCUAUAUAUAUAUAUAUAUAUAUAUCUAUAGCUAUUGCAUUCAGUCUUUUUCUGGUGAAUAAUAGAAAAGCUAUUUUCUUUUUCCUGUGAUCUUGACUAACAGUAUUAUUAUUAUUAAAAUCUUGAAUCAUCAAUUUUUGGCCUAACAUGAAAGAAGUUUAAUAAAAUACUAGGCAAAUCUUUUAGGUUUUAGUCAAUUAGAAGAACUUUAAUUUUUUUUUUCUAUCUCUUAAGCAAGAAAAGAUGCAUAAUCUAUCUUUAAUUUUUAUUUUAGGAGUGGUAUGAGGUCUAAAAUUUUAGAAUUUGUUAAUUUUAAAUUAUAAUUUUUUAAUUUAUACUAAAAAAUAAUGUAAAAGCUUUAAAAUCUAAAAUUUCUAUAUUUAGUAUUUUUCUAAGCAUUAAUUAAUAUUGUUAUCCAAAUAUAUAAUUUAAAAUAAUCACACAAAAAAUAAUACAAUACAGUGCAGCACCAAACAUAAUAUAAUUAAAAAUUAAUAUAAUACAGUGUAGCAACAAACAUUGUACAAUAUUAUUAUAAUAUAAUACUAAUGCAAUAUAGUAUAAUACAAUACACAUGUAUUAAAAUAAUGUAAUACCGUGUAAUAUAAUACAGUGUGUCAAACGCACCCUAAGUGAAUUCUCACCUUAUAUAGUGUGACCAUCCGAAUUAAGAUUUAUUCUCAUAAUAAAUAAUAGCAUCCCACUCCCCUUAAUUUUCUCUUUAUAUUUUUCACCUUAUAUUUCAUGCAUUAUUCUAUAUUUACAACAUGGAAUCAUUAAUGAAGAUGGGACCCUAAUUUUAGAAGGGACUUGGAAAUUAGGCUAAUUAUCAUAAACCUCCCAUGAGGUUUGAAGCAUUCACUGUUUGAUAGAUCAUUCUCCGAGACCUCCUCUGACGUUAGUAUACCAUUAAUUUGACAAUUUAUUACAUGAUAAAUUAACCAAGUAUCCCUGACGUAGAAAAUGGUAAUUUGAAUACUGAAAAGAAAGAAUUUUUGGUUAGUACCAGUAUGUUUGUUCUAGCAUCAUGAGAUGUCAAUACAAAUAAAAUACCAAAUCGCCGAUGUGACUUUUCAAAAUGACUUUGAUGAAUGAUACAAACAACUUAAAUUAUUUAUGUUUUAAAAAGAUGUGAAAUGUACAAGUUAGAUUUUAAAAUUUAACUUCAAUUGCUACUACCAUUUUUUCAAUUAUCUUCAACGAUUAUAUUGCCAGUGUCAGUGGCUAUAUAAACUGCCGUAGCCAAACUCAAUAUGCAGCAUAUCAUUUACUUCCCAAACAUGAAAAUAGCAUUCAUCUCACUUCAAAGUUCAAAGGUACCAAGCCAACACUGCCAAUAUCACUUCAUCUCAAUAUCAACCAUUUGUGAUAUAUCUUUCGACAAUCAAUUAAAAAUCUUAGCAUUUCUCAAGGAUUUUAAAGUUAUAAAUCAUUGUGCAAAAUUUCUUAAGUAUUCUGCCAUAUGAAGCACUAUGUUAAACUUCACCUUUUCAACAUAUCUCAUAGGCCUCCCAUGCAUCAUAUCUUUGAUGUCCUCCCAUAACUUCUUUAAAGUAUAUUGUUCAGGGAUUAUAGAUCCAAGUUUAAGCAUUUCACCAUCAACCAUAGCCUCAAUGUCCUUGUAAAUAGAGCUGAGAAAUGGUACAAUGAGAAGGACUUUGUAAAUGUUCAAAACAAGUAAAAUUAAGUCUUUAACAAAUUAAGUCAUGUAAACUGCACAUUAUAACCCAAAAAGGAAAAACAAAUCAAAUUUGGCCGCUUUGACAGCAAACUAACUACACACUUGAAGCUAUCCUCAACAUGCAAUUCCAUUCUUAAUUUAACUACAACUUAUAUGAUAGUGCAUUGAUGCCGAUCAUGAGGUCAAAACAAUUUCUAAAUCCUAAAUCAAUCAACUUUUUCACAUUUCUUAACCAUUACAUCAUCGUUUCAGAGUAUGAACUAGUGGAGUCGUGUAAUGAAUCUUCACUGUUGAAGCUUACUUUGCUUGAAUUACAACAGAUUCACAACUACAUCGAAGCACUCAAGUCCACCCUAUUACCUAACUCACAGCUCCAGCAAGCAAGAAUGCAGCAACCCAUGACAAUUUUUUCAACCCAAUACAUGUAAAUACCAUGAUCAAAAUAAAAAACAAAAUCCAGUAUCCUCAAAAGAUUAAUAUACACUUCAAGUUAUCUCCAAAAUUCAAUCCCAUUUUCAAUCUAAUAAAAAUUAGCAUGAAUCCCUAUUCAAAAAUCAGCAGCAGUGUGAUGCAGCGGAAAUUUAAUGUUCAAAAUAUUCCGUUAAUUCUAGAGAAUACCGGAAUAAAAGAACAAUUAAAUUUACUUUGAUUUAAAAGAAUACCACGAAUUUGGGGGUGAAGACUCGUUGAUUCUACAGAAUACUAAGAAUUAACUGAAUUCAACUACUCACACAGAGUUUUGAAAACUGAAAUAUUAUUGAACUAAAAAAUCUACUCUCUUGUAAAAGUUACAAAAGACACUUAUUUAUACUAACUAAGAUUUAUCCUAAUUUGAUUGGAAAACCUAUUUUAAUAAGACUUAUACCUAAAUUAAAAAUAUUACCCAAAUAAACAAUGACUAAAAAUUAAAAUUCUAAAUAGAAAAUUAAAUUAAAUUUGAUUAUAAAUUAAUUAAAAUAUUCUUAAAUAUUAUAAAUUUUAAUGUAAUUAAGAUUUCUUUAAUUUCUUGCUUUCCAUCACAGUGCCUUAAACGAAUAAAAAGCUUUUGAUAGCCAUUUUCAAUCAAUCACAUGGCAGCAUAACAAACUGCAAGCCAUUUUCAAUCAAUCCCAAGUGAACAUGCAUUUGCAGCACUCGUUCACCUAGAACUAACACUUAUUAAUAUAUUUAAAUUGUAUUAAUAUUUUAUAUUAUUUAUAUUAUUAUUAAUUUUAAAUUAAUAUUAUUCAUAUUUAUUCAUAUUUAAAUAUUUAUUAUUAGUUAUAAUAAAUUAUAAAUUUAUUAAUAAAUUAUAAUGUAAAAAUAAAAAAUAUAAUGUAAUAUUAUUGAAUAAUAAAUUAUUUAUUUAUUAAUUUAUAUUAAUAAUUAUAAUGUAAAAAAAAUCUUAUAUUAAAUUAAAAAUUAUAUUUAUUUAUUUAUUAUUAUUAUAAUAAAGAAGCAAAAAAAAAAAAAAAGUAAAGCUAAUGCGGUAGUUGCCACAUUAGCCAUCCACAUUAAUCCCUUGCAAAUUUGCUCCAAAGUCCAAACAUAGGGUUGGUAUUAUUUUAAUGUAAAUAGUGUUUUGCUACCUCAUAAUACAAUGUAACAAACAUGCCCAAAGUGAAAAAUUUAAAUUUGUUUGAAUUUGUUUGCCAUUAGAGGAUUCUCUUACGAUUUUAUCCUCACUAACCUAACUUAUAUGAAAUGGUAUACUAAUGUUAGGAGAGGUGUCUAAGAAUACUCGAAUAUAAUCUAUCAGACUGAAAAUAACUCAAAAUUUAGGGGAAGUUUCUGAUAAUUACCCUUGGAAAUUACCCAUGCUGGCAAGAUGUGUAUAUCUAUUGUCAAUGACAAAGAAAAAAUAUGAUAAUUAUUAAUAUAAUCGAAUCAAUCAUGUUAUGCCACAUCUGGUUGAGUAUAAAAAGAAUUUAUACAAAAAUUUGUAACUGUAAUAUUAUUUUAUUUAUAAUUUAAAGAAUUUCUAAAACGACUCUCUUGAGCUUUAUUAUUAAUAAAGCCACUUAUUUACAAAAGGAUUAACAUUGGAAGGAGCAAAAAAGUAUACACUUUUCAUCCGUUUCCAUAUGAUAGAAACAAGAACAAGUAAAGGAAAAAUUAUUAAUUCAGCAAGGUAAUAUAGAGGAAAUAAAUUAAGAUUAUUAGAGUUGAUGGAUAUAAAUAAAUUAAUUAAAAGAAACUGCUAGUUCUUGGUGUUCAUGCUUUUUGUAACUUGCUCAGCAUUUUGUUUGACGGCUUCCUUAGAUUUAUCAGCCUUUCCGAGCAAAUUAUCUUUGACAGUUUGAGCAGUGUCUUUGGCCGAACCCCAUGCAUCUUGAACUGUUUGUUUUGCCUUAUCACCAAUGUCUUGUGCUGUUUCAGACACCUUUCCAGCCUUAUCUUUUGUAAUAUGACUCAUCUAGAUGCAUUUUCAUAAUUAAUUAAUUGCAAACUAACUAAAUAAAAGUAAAAAUAUGCUAGAAUUCAACAUAUAUGGAAUCGUGCUUAGAUGUAGAUGUCUACGACUUUGUCAUACAAACAUAAUUUAAAAGAAAAAAAAAAGACAGAAAAUUGGAGUUUAUAUAUAUAUAUAUAGAGAAAUGUUCCAGUCCGAAAUUUUAAAGUGCGGUAAAGCUUUAAAAUCGCAUGAUUUUAAAGGUUUAAAACUGUAAGUCUUUAAAGCCGUGCGGUUUUAAAAUUCUCCCAAACUUUCCUGCACUUUAAAAUCCCUGACUGGAAAACUACUGAUAUAAAGAAAUUUUUUUUUUUUUUGCCUUUUCGACUUGGUCCAUUCUAUUGUUAGAUGUCGGUUCUUAUUAUUUUCAAAUGCGAACAUCCACACCUGAACACUGCUGAAUAUUAUACUAUUAAAUCAUAGACUUAAUAACUUUUAAUAAUUUUAAUAAAAUCUAAGAUCCUAUACUAAAUCAGUACUCUUAUAUAUAUAUAUAUAUAUAAUUACUUGCUGAGCAGUAGAGGCAGCCUUGGUUUUCAUGUCUCCAGAAGCCUUCAUCGCAUGAUCUGCCCCUUGCUUAAUUGCUUCCGUUGUCUUUUCACAAGUUGCUGAAGCCUCUUGAUGGGUACUUGCCUAUAUAUACACAGUGUAUAGAGAAUUCUAUAUCUCAGCAGUAAAAAUUUUUUAGAAAAUAAAGCAAAUUGAUUCCCACGUGCGCUAACUACGUAAUACUAAAUUACAAAUUUAUUGAAUCUCUAAUUAACUAAAAUUGAGGAGAAGAAUUUGAAACAAAUUAAUGGGGAAAUAAGAAGCACUUAAUUGGUAUAUAUACCUGAAUGUAUCUAGGUUUUGAGGCAAGAAAUUGCUUAGAAUUCCAAAUGCUUCUCCUAGCAAUUGCAAGUUUUGAAAGAGUGGAACUUGCCAUUAUUAUUUUUCUUUUGUUUUCUUUUUAUUAUCUUCUAACAAAUGUAAGAAACUCUUGAAGGAAUUGUCUGGAAAAGCUGAAUAUAUAAAGAAGGAAGAACAUCCAUUUCAUUAUGUGUUGUAAUUGAGAGAGUAUAUUUCGAUGAUGAAUGGUUUUCAUCAGUCAAUUAGACCCAGUAUUCCAGGGUAAUUAAAUUGAGGAGGCUCAUUUUUUGUCCAUAACUUUCUUUUUAUUUUUUAUUUUUAUAUUUUUUCAAGACUUGGUCCUUGUUUCUGAAAUUCAGAUGUGGAAAUAGAGUAGAUUCUCAAUGAGUUGAUAAUAUUGAUAACAUAAUAGUUUUCAUUGGUCUCAACUUGCCACCAACAUGGUAAAUUAACAAUUUGAUAAAUUUAUAAGAUAAUAAUUACUUAAUUUGAAACUAAAUUUAUAUGAUAUGUCAUACGGUUUUUAUUAAAAUAUUUUUUUCUGUGUUAUUUGCUGCUUCUUAAAAUUGAUUUAGAAUUGAAUCUCAUCUCUAACUCUUUUGUAAUGUGAAAUUUCAAUUUGUAUUGCAGCUUUGUAACAACAAUGAGUCAAUGAGACAGACUCCUCAUAUCAUCUUUAAUAUAGAAAAAUAAAAACUCUAAAAUAAUCUAAUUAUUAUCAAAGACAACUAACUAUUAUUCAAAUUAAACAUAAUAAAUACUAUGAACAUAAUCAAAGUUUUUUAAAUAAAUUUCUUUAUAAAUUAUAAUUUAUUAAUUUAUUAAUAUUUACUAAAUUAAUACAUUUUCUAUGGUCCCAAUGCAAUUAAUUGUACCAAGAAUCUUGCCGCUCAUAUAAGGGCUUCAGCAGCCGUUUGAAUCCUCUGAAGGACACGUGUAAGGCUCUAGUUCAUUUUGUUAGGCAAAACAGCAAGCAACGAUGCUGCAUGAGUAAGCGAUACACGUGAUACAUCACGUGUUUGACUUAUUCAUUCAACUGACAUUAUGGAAAUGUCAUACACCUCUCAGAAGUACUACGACCGACUAGACAUGAUGCUCUCACUGACAUAUCACAAACUUCCUGAGAAUAUAAGUGACUUGUCAUUCUCAGUUAUAAAAACAGAUUUGAGCUUCAUUCUUCAACAAAUAGACUAAGAAAUAAAGAAUUAAGAGAAAAUAUAUCAAUAAAUUAUAUCCAUCAAAUUUUGAUUGUAAUAUAUCAAUAUUUCAAAAAGAAAAAUUCUUGCAUUAAUUAUUAUACUUAAAAACCUUCUUUAUUUUAGACCAUAAUUUUCUCAACUAGAUUCUACACGUAAAUUCAUGAUAUUCAGUGGGUUACAACUAGAAUUAGGGAUGGUAAAAACCGGGUCCGGGUCUGGGUUUAGCCUUCCUGAAUUCGGACCCGGAUGUCAUUUUCUUUUUCUCCGGAUCCGGAUUUUAACCCGGAUUUUUUCAUCUCGAGUCCGGAUCCGGGUUUAACCCGCAAAAAUUCGGGUUUCCAAAUUUCGGGUUUUGAACCCGGAUCAAUGAAUCAGUUUUUAAAAAAUAAAAAAUUAAUACAUUUCCAACCAAUAACACAUCGAGAUUCCAGAUUGUAAAUCAUCAAAUAAAAAAAAUUAAAUCACUACAAAUAUAAGCCCAUUAAAGCAUAAACCAUUUCGAAUCUUUUUACUAUAAGAACAAUGUUUCUAGCAUAGAUAAAAUCAAAUAACAAAGUAUAAUGAAAUCAAAACGAAAGGAUAGCAAACUGGAUCGUUGUUUGGAGUUGCAAGAACCGGAGGCUGCGACGGUCGUGAACCCGAGAGUACGAGUUGCGACGGUGGCGAACCGCGAACCCGAGCUUGUGAUGGUAGCCAACUGCGAACCCGAGCUUGCGACGGUAAAAACCUGGAUUGUUGUUUGGAACUGCAAGAAGCCGAGGCUGCGACGGUCGUGAAUGGUGAACCCAAGAGUACGAGUUGCGACAGACGACGGUGGCGAACCCAAGCUUCUGAGUUCUGACGGCAGUGAAUCGCGAAGGCUGCAAGAAGCUAAGAACCCAAGCGGCCAAGCCUGUGAGUUGUGAGUUGUGAGUUGUGACUGACUGACAAUAGCAACCUGGAUAAAAUUAAGGUUUUUUUGUUUAUGUUUGUAUUUAUAUUAAUCAAUAAAAUUAAUUAAAAAAUAAUAUUAAAAUAUGAUAUCUGGGUCCGGGUUUCAGAUAUUCAGGUUAGCCUAAACCUGGAACCGGACCCGGAUAUAUCCGGGUUAUAAAAAUCCAUUCCGAAUUCGGAUUAUUUUGCACUGCGGUACGGGUUCAACCCGGCCCGGAUUAUCCGGGUUCGUCCAGGUCCGGGUAAAUCUGUCAUCCCUAUCCCUAACUGGAAUGUAUAAUUAGCCAACGAUUUUGUAAAUUUAUUUUUUCUUUUCUCAUUUAAACCAGAUCAGUCUCUUUAAUCAUUUAAUAUACCCUUAAGAAAUGGUAAAGUGACAAUAGGAUGCAAAAUUUUAAUUUGGGUAAGCGGUCUUUCCAUGGGCAAAGAGACUCCACCCAAGCGAGAAAAAUAGAAUUAGGUAAGGUCUGUUUAGAAAGGGGAAGGGAAAUAGGUCCCUAUCUCGACAUUAAUUCAGGUCAGGGAAUUAAAUUAUGCUAAAUGCUUGUACCAACCGGUUUACAUGAUUGUAUUAAUUAAUUAUAGAGUUUCAAUAAAUUGAUAAUCUUAACUAAAUUAUAGGUUUUGCUGGUACUGAUUUGCAGCCAACGUGGUAAAUUAAUAAUUUAAUAUAUUUAUAGGAUACUAAUUUUUUUCAUAUUACCCAAUUAUUAUAUAAAUUAAUAAAUGCCUAAAUUGAAACUAAAUUCACACGAUAUGUCAUGUGACUUUUGUAAAUUGUUUGCUACUUGUUGAGUUUGAUUUUGGAAAUGGAUCUCAUCUCUAACGUUUUUUGUAAUGCAAAAUUUUAAUUUAUACUGUCAUUUUGCAACAAGUGUGAGAUGAGCUCCAUACAUCAUCUUUAAAAAAUUAUAAACGUGAUCAUAUUUUCCAAAAAUAAGGAUUUCUUAAUAAAUUAUUAAUUUAUUAAUUUAUCGAUAUAUUAAUAGACACAAAAUUAAUAGAUUUUUCAUCAUCCCAAUACUAUACUUUAUCGAGUUUUUAUUGUUCCAUUGUUUACUUUUAAUAAAAAAUAAAAAUAAAAAGCUAGUGCUUGACUUAUACAUUUUAGUUAUAUGUUUUAAGAUAUUAAUCACUUUAGGAUGUGUCUUAAUUGUCUUCGAUUAUUGAUUCUUUUUUUUUUUAACUAACGUUCAGGAAAUUUAUAGUUGGACCAAAAUAAAUCAAGAAUUGGGUCAAUAUGGGGGGAAAAUAUCCAACUUUAGGUAUUGUAGCAAAAUAUUGUUUGGGAUUGUGAUAGUUGAUUUAGUAAAUUGUUCCUGCUAUGUGGAUGAAAUGAGCUGCUUAUUAACGAAGUAACUUGGUUUUUGAUAAAUUGUAUUGUUACAACUCUAUGAGUCUGAAAAGUAGAGUACAUGAGUUUAGUAAAUUUUAUUACAAAAAUGUUGUUUUAUUCAAUAAUGGCCAAAAUAAACAUAAGUUUAAAUUGCCUUUUAUUUAUAUAUUAGGAUUUAUGAAAAAAAAAAGACAUAAUUGUCUUUUUAUUAAAAUCUUUGGUUAUAAUAGAAAUUUUAAAAAGCAUGCUGGCUUUUUUAAAAAACUGCUAAUAAAAAGCAAUCUCCUACCUAUAUUUUAAAACUUCUAUCAAAUUUUAAAAAAUUUACCGAACAUUAGCAUUUGAACCUAAAUUUCAAAAGGGCCGUUAUUGCCAACCCCAGUGACCAAUCUUUUUAGAGGGGAUUUUCAACAAUGAUAUGCAUUCUUUGCAUUGAUUUUUAUCAAUUCCUCUUCAUUUAAGAAAAAAAUUUGAGUACCAAUUAUUUCAAUUAUUAAAAUUUUUUGUGUCAAAACAAAAGACCUGAAAUUUGAACGUUGCUCACAUAGGUAGGAAGAACUAAGUUGCCAUUAAGUAGCAGAAAAUAAUAAAAAAAUUACUAAUCAAUUUUUUUUUAGUCCUUAUUGUUCACAUUCAAAAUUAAUACAUGAAAAUAUAUACCAUUUAUUUGACUAUAUAGCCUGAUCAGUUAAGUUUUGUCUUUCUCAAAAAAAUGAAAAAGAAGUCACGUUAAAUUCAGUUGAAUUUUUUAUAAAUAGACUCACAAUGUAGAGUUGGAUAUAGCUCAUCUUGAUUGAUCUGCUCCAAAAUUCAAACAUAGUAAUGGUAUUUUACCUCACAAAUUAUCUCACUAACCCCUGCUUUUUAAAAGUACCCUUAUUAAAAACAAAGUAUAAUUAUUUUUAUUUUAUUUUAUUUUAUUCUCUCUCCUCCUUUUUGUCUAGCAUAACCAUCAGCCCCACUACAUGUAUUAAUCAACACCAAGUUUAUCAUCAUCACUACAAUUAAAGGCCAAAAGUGAAUAGUUCAUGCUAUCAUAUAAGAAAUAAAAAAUAUCUCCUUUUUAGCUAAGUGCAAUGAGCCAAUGGCAAAGAAGAUUCUUUGGUUGAACAAUGGAAGAAUGUCACGUCAGCUAUCCUCUGCAGUGUCCCAUAAAGCAACAAGAUCACAAGUUGGAGAGGCUGCCACGUCAGAUAUCCUCUGCAGUGUCCCAUAAAGCAACAAGAUCACAAGCAGUGUCCCAUCAUAGAGGAAAAUGGGUGGCUGGAGAUUUCCUUUCCUCCUAAGCCUAUUAAUGUUACCAUCAAGCGACCACAAGAUAAAUUACUCAAAUAACCUCAUCUAAGAGAGGUCAGCCAAUAAAUGAAUGCCACAUGUUUAAAUAGACCAAAACGACUCUCAGGCGCACUCUAAAAAAGAUCAAGGGCUUUUCCAAAAACGAUAACUUCCUCAUUAAAAAAAUAGAGUAUCUUAUUCUUCUCAAGAGUAAAAACACCAUUGUUGAAGCUUUAAGGUCCAUUAGACUUUGAGGCGCCAUUCUAUCAUCCAAAAUCUUACUUGGGAUCUCCAGCUCUAUCUCUUUCUUUUUGCUCCAUCAACCCUAGAGAUUUUUUCCAAAUCUAAUUUCUUGAGAGGCUGCAUCAUCUUCUUCUCCAUCUAUUUUUACACCUCCAUGGAAGAUCUUGGUCACCUCAUCUCUUAAAGAGGCAUUUCCCAUACUCUUAUCUUAAAGAACUCUCUAAUCUCCAUAAGACCCACAUUUUCCUCAUGUUAUUAUUCACCAUAAACAACUUUAAUAAGGUUUUGUUAAUGUUGUAAAGCAUAUCAUUUAAUAAUAUACAUAGUGGAUUGGAGAUGAUUACUCUCGUGGCUAUAGGCCAAAAGGUCGAACUGCAUAAAAUAUUAUGUGUUCUUUAUUGUUUAUAAUUAUUUUCUUCUUAUUACGAUAGUUUUGAUGCCUAGAUUGCAUUUCAUAUAUGAGAUUACAUGAGUUAUACCACGACCUAUACUAAGCCUCACAAAUAAGCUCUCUGGAACUAUCCUCUAGUUCACUAGGUCUAUUCCCUAAACUCUCCUAAGCUCUUUAUGUCAACUCUUUAAAUUAACUCUCACGAGCUCCAUUAAGCUCUCCAUAUUUUUAUAAACUUAAAACAACCCAGUUUACUUCUCAAAGCACCUCAAUUCACCUCUCAAAUCACCUCAAUUUACUUUCUAGUUCGCCUCCACUAUACAUCCAACCCUCAAUGUCAGAAAAAUACGCCUAGACCCAAACACUUAAUGUGGAAUCCAAGGCAUGAUGGUUCAAAUUGACUUGGAUCCAGUAAAAAAAACUACUUAAUAGUUCAAAUUGACCUAGAUCCAAUAAAAAAACUACUUGAUAAUUCAAAUUGAAUCAUAAUAAAAAUCUAGUUAAAAAAAUUGGCUUCAUUUUGGUGGGGAUCGCAAUUAAAAACUCCACAACAGUUACCAAAUUAUUUUAUUUUGUGUUUGGAAUGAGAUGGAAGUUGAGCAUUUCUCCAACGAUAACCUUGUUAUAAUUGAGCAGGAUGAUGACAGUGAGAAUGAACCUAACACCAAACCUAUAAAGAAGAUGAAAAAAACAGAGAAGGGGAAGUCAGAUGACAAAAACAGAGAGGGGGAAGUCCAUAAAAACCUCAAUCAGUAUUUACCAUAUUGAUGAGUUCAUCAUUAGGUGGCGCUUUCAUGAGUUUACCAAUAAUAUUUUCCAUGGCAUUGGUUUGCAAGGUCAAUACUUAGAUAGUGGUCUAAGCAAACAAGCCACCAUACAAGCUAUAGGCAGAAAGCUUGUUGUCCAACACUAAAAGGCACUUGAAGCAAACAAGCAAUUAAACCUCAUCACAUGUAUCCAAAAGCAUAGCCAAUUUGUUUUAAAGAUGAAAUAUCCACCACUAAUAGUCGAUCUAGUUGCAGUAGAGGCCAAAAGUAUGACAAACAACGCCAAAGAUUUGUGAGAUAUGCUAAAUGCUCACAAAUCUCCUCCGAUCGAGGAGGGUUCCUCUGGCAUUCAAAGGUUACCUCAGGAAAUACUCAACAAAAUGUCUUCUCUAGAGAAACAAGUAUGAAAACUCUCCUAGAAGAAUAGUUCCAUUGUUAUGGAUCAAUCAUUAAUCUUUUAUAAAACACUAUUUACCAUGGACAUUUGCAAAUCAACUCUCUUGACCGACUCCAUCACGCCUCUGAUUCCAGAGUAUAGGAGAACCUCUAAACCUAUUGAGCAUGUUGAGUUGUACCGAGAUCAUAUGCAUAUAAAAGGAGUUAGGGAAAAGGCCAUGUAUCAUAUGUUUACACAUACUCUCUCGGUCCCAACUAAAUCUUGGUUUCGGUCUCUCAAGCUAGGGAGAAUAACUAGCAUUGAUCAACUACUUUUCAAGUUCAUUAAGAAAUUUUGCUAUGUUUCUUAUCAAAAGAAAUCCUCCUCUAAACUGGCUUUCAUCAAGCAAUGUGAGACAUAAUCACUAGCCUCUUUUAUCAACCAUUUUCCCUAGUGGAUUCUCUAAAUAGGAGUCUUUGGUCAUGAGAAAAUGUUUGGUCAUUUUACAAAGAAUCUUUAAGGAGUGAAGUUGUACAAAUCCUUUCAAGAAGUCAAACAAUUAACAUAUGAGGAUUUUGGUCAAAUGCUUUAAAGCAGAUCGAGUACGAAGACAAAUAUUAGCCCAAGGAAGGCAAGCUGGACACGACCAAGAGAAAAGAUAACUCAAAGAAACCAGAGACACACUCUAGUAGAAAAGCUCUGGUACACUAACCCCAACAAUAUAAGGAAUGGGUUGAGGAUUCCACGACCAACAUGUGCCAAAAAUCCCUCCACCCCUUCAGAUAAAGCACCGUAAGAGAGAUGACCCACCAGAAAAGUUGUGGUAUGACUCUCACUUCCUUCUGAACAAGUCUCUGGAGCCUAUUUUCUACCACAUCUAUAAUAGUGGGCUUAUGGCCUCCCAGGCCAAUAAAAAAAAAAAAAAACCUCAACAUAGAGAGAAGCUUGAAGUAUUGUGAGUUCCACAAAGACUUUAGUCAUAGUACCGUUGAAUGUUUUCAAUUGCAAGAAGAGAUAGAGCCAUUGAUCAUCAAUAGGUAUUUGAAGGAAAGGAGUUUGCUGCUAGGGUGAGAGAUACUAGAAAGUCUGUGAAAAAAAAUCGAGGGAAAAGAGCCUCAAAAGGGGAGCCCCAAAGGGCAGGGACCCUGUGUGCCAAGAAAGGUAUUUAUGUGGGAAUGAUAUCAGGAGGUUCUACUCUUACCGGUAAUUCUAGAUGGUCAAUCAAAACUUAUAAGAGAAACACUUCAUUGAAAAAGAGAUUAACAUGGCUAACUGAAGCUCACCUUCAACAACUCUACCCUUAGUCCCAAUCAUAUUUACCGAGUAAGAUGCAGAGAAUAUGGUCUAUCCAUAUGAUGAUACCCUAGUAAUCACUCUAAAAGUUAUAGUAGAUAGAGUGGCUCGAACAUUGGUCGAUGCGGGAAGUUCAGUGGAUAUCAUAUUCAAGGAUACAAUGGAUUAGCUCACUCACGAGUCUAUUAAAGUAACUCUCAAUAAAACUCCUUUGGUUGGUUUUUUGUUAUACUAAAAGGGAUAGUCACUCUGCCUAUUUCAAUGGAUAAGUCUUCCCAUAAAGUGGUCUACAUGGUAAAUUUUUUUGUGGCAGAAAAAUAUUAUUUCGGCCACCAUUUAUGGCAACCACUAGAUCAACUCUUUCCAGGUGCUACCUUGCCAUGAAAUGCCCAUAUAAAAAUUUGUAAUCACUUUCAAGAGAGAUCAACAUAUUGCCCGUCAGUGUUACAGUAUGCGUUAAAAGAUAGCUAGUAGAAAGCAUCUGGUCACUGUAGAUUUAAAUCUUAAAAUGAUCAAACAUGUUGUUAUUAGACAAAAAAGAACAUUAGAAAGAAAGUUAUGAAUCUGAACACAACAAAAAUCCAAGCGGAGGAUACCUCCAAAGAGGUAAACUUCAUCAUUCUCUAACAAGCUUCAAAUGGAAAUAAUCAUCAUGAGUUACAAAAACUGAUUAAAGCGCCAUUAGAUCUAAGAAUCGCCAAAGAAGACAAAAAGGCACGCCAAUAAAAGACCUUUUCACUGAUCCUAUUAAGAAAGACAAACCCAUAAAAGUUUUCAAGAUUGGUUCACAUCUCACACCGGAAACCAAGAAGCAACUAGUCACUUUCCUGUAGAAGCUUAGAUGUAUUUCUUAAUGAAAUAAGGAUAUGCUAGGCAUAAACACGGAGGUAUCUUGCCAUAGACUUAAUGUUGAUCUAGAUCACAAGCCAGUUAAAUAGACUGCUUAUUGUAGGUCAGGUUUAUAAGAGAAGCCAACUAUCUAAAUCGUGUUUCAAAUGUUGUCUUGGUUAAGAAGUCCAACAUAAAAUAGUGCAUGUACCUUUAUUUCAUGGACUUGAACAAAGCCUGCCAAAGGAUAACUUCCCUCUCCUCAGAGUAGAUUAGCUCGUUGACACAACCUCUUAUCGUGAAAUGCUGAGUUUCGUGGAUACUUUUUUGGGUUACAACUAGAUUAGGAUGUAAGAUUCAUAUUAAGAGAAAAUUGUGUUCACCAAUCAAAGGCUUUAUGCUACAGAGUUAUGCCUUUUGGGUUAAAGAAUGUGGGAGUAACCUACCGACAUUCGGUCAAUACGGUCUUUAAGAACCAAAAUGGUAGAACUAUGAAGGUUUAUAUUGAUGAUAUGAUAAUUAAGUCAAUAACAUCGGCCAACAAUGUAGAACUCCUCCUCAAAUAUAAGAUUCGAUUAAACUUAGAGAAGUACGCACUCGAGAUAAUGCCAAGGAAGUUCAUGCGUUCAUGAUGCAACAGAAGGGUAUUAAAGCCAACCCCUACAAAUUAUAUCAGUACUAAAAAUAAGAUCUCCGCGAACAGUGAAAGAGGUACAGAGCUUAGCUGGUAGAGUUGUAGCAUUGAGCCAUUAUAUUUCUUAAGUUAUGGGUCAUUAUAAAUUUUUUCUUAAGGCCCUCAAGGUUGGGAAAAAGCUAUCAUGGACUCUGAAAUGUGAAGACGUUUUCCAAUAGUUGAAGAGAUACCUGGUUUAUCUACCGACACUUGUCAAGUUGAAAUCAAGAGAUACCCAAAUCAGGAGAUAUCCUCCUACUAUAUUUAUUAUUUCUAAGCAUGCUACCAGCUUGCUUCACGUCAGAGAGGAGGAUAAAACAUAAAUGCCUAUAUGCUAUACCAAUAGAGCUAUGAUAGAUGUAGAAGAAAGAUAUCCCUCGUUAGAAAAGCUAGAGCUAACUCUAGUGAUCUCCACUAGAAAACUCAGGCCCUAAUUCCAGGCCUAUACUAUAGUCGUGGUCGCAAGCUUAUCAUUAAGGCAGGUGCUUGAAAAGUUUGUCAUGUCAAAAAGGCUUGUGAAAUAAUCGCUCGAGCCAAGUAAGUUUGACAUAGCCUAUCAUCCCCAAUCAGCCAUUAAGGCACAAGUCAUCACCAAAUUCUUAGAAGCAUUUGCCAAUGAUCUAAAUGGAGAAGGAAUCCUGAGAGAGAUGAACGAAAAGGUUACCAUCGAUGUACUUAGAGAGUAUUGAGAUGUCUAUGAAAAUAAAUCUUCAAAUUCGCAUCGGAGUGGAGCUGAUUUGAUUUUCAUAAGCCUCGAAGGGGUAAACCUCUAAUAUGCAUUGCAAUUUGGUUUUAAGUUCUUCAACAAUGAGGCUGAAUACGACGAAAUCAUUACUACGUUGAAGAUAUCAAAGCUCUUGCGGGCAAGAAAACUCAUCAUUGGGAGUGAUUUCUAAUUGUUAGCCAUCCAUAUUAGCUUGGAACACCAAACCAAGAAAAAUAACAUAGAAGAUUAUUUUAAAGAAGAUUAGAGAGUUGAUAAUAGAGUUCAAAAAAGUGAAAAUGGAGAAAGUCCCAAGAACCAAGAAUAAUGAAGCUGACAACUUGUUAAAAUGCCUCAUUGGGGAUUGUUUAAUUUGGUUUUAGGUUAUCCAACAAUGAGGCUGAAUACAACACAAUCAUUGCUACGUUGAAGAUACGCAAAGCUCUCAGGGGCAAGAAAACUCAUCAUCAGGAGUGAUUCCUAAUUGUUAGCAAUCUAUUUUAGAUCGGAAUACUAGACCAAGAAGGAGAACAUAGAAUAUUAUUUGAAGAAGGCUAAAGAGUUGAUAAUAGAGUUGACAACUUGUCAAAAUGCCUCAUUAAGGACUGUUUAGUUACUAGAACAGGUAUUAGUAAAGUAUAUCCCCAAACUGAAUACCACUCUAUCGAAGUAAAGAGGUAAGCUUCGUUUAUUUUGAAGAAUCAUGUAUAACACCCAUAAAGAAGUUUCUACAAAGAGAAUAGCUUCUGAGGGACAAGAAUACAUCAUAAAGACUAAAGAACAAAGUAGCUCGCUAUUAUCUGACUAAAGUACUCUACAAAAUGGGGUUUUCCUUCCUCUCUUAUGUCCAGAAAGAGGUCAAGCUGAGUAUAUGUUGAGUGAAAUGCACGAGAGGAUAUAUAGUAAUUAAUAUACGACAUGGCCAUUAGCUUAUAAACAAUGCACUAGGAUGCAAAGGAGAUAGUCAGAAGUUGUGACAAAUGCCAGAGAUUUGCUAAAAUAACACAUAUGCCUCUAGAGAAGAUAAAUGUAAUGUCUUCGCCAUGGUCAUUUGUUGUAUGAGGAGUUUGUUAUUUCCUAAAUCUUCAUAAGAAUCCAGAUUAAAAUUAUUGAGCAAUACAAUUUCAAAAGCAUACCUGAAUCCAUAAUUGUUGCACAAAGAUUUCUUGAUUUUUGGUGAUGGUCUUCCAAUCUAAUCUCUUCUCCUUGAUUAAGAAUUCUCGUUGAGAGGUUUUUAGAAUUAUUAAGAGUUAAGAGAGAUUAGGGACCAUAACCUCCUUUUUAAAAUAACGUAAUUGAUGGUUUUAAUAAAAAUCGUUUAGCAGUUAUCAUGUGUUUAUUAUCACUUCAGCCCCUCGUUAGAGUGAUAAUUAAAACUCUGGUAUCUAUCCAUUUAACCCACAAUAAUUGUACCCUUAGCCAUUUAAUUAAUAUUAAAUAGAUCACUUAAUUAUUGGGUAACUAAAUAAUAGCACACAUUUUAUUUGUUUCAUGUGUGGCCCCAAAUAUUAGAUUAAUUAAAAAAUAAUCUAACAAUCUCCCACUAUUAUGUCCUUAGAGUAUAUUUGGGCAAUCUCGUCCAUUAACCAUAUCGAUAUAGGAUUAUAGCGGCCUUUGUUACAUUAGUCGUAACUCAACCUAUCCAUAGUCACAUAUAUCAAUAUAGUUAAAUGACAUAGACCGAUUGUGGAUACAUAACAUGGAAAUUGCAUGGAAUGUGAUCUAAACAUGUCUAUUCCCAACUGGUCAUACUUUACUUUAUUAAGAUCAAAACUCAAAAUAUCUUAACAGAGUGUAGAGGAACUGAAAUACUUUAUUUCUAUAGAAAAUAAUAUGAAUUAUAUAAUUGAAAUCUAAAAGUCACACAUAGUAAAUAAUACAAACUUCCACUAAAUCUGAAUAUCCUCAAGUAAAAUCACACCCAUAUGAGCAGUGUGCUCAUGAAAGACCUUAGGUGGAAAUUCUUUAGUGAGCAGAUCCGCUAUCAUGGAGUUUGUCCCAAUGUGCUCUAUAGAUAUUUGUCCACUCUACACUCUUUCUUUCACAACAAGGAACUUGAUUUCAAUGUGUUUUGAUUUUGUAAAGCUCUUGUUGUUGUUGGAAUAUAAAACUGUUGACUUAUUGUCACAAAAUAUCUUAGUGAUCUUUCUACACCCUCUAGAAUGCACAGCCCGGUGACAAAAUUAUGCAGCCAUAUUUCUUGAUUGGAUGCCUUAUAACAUGCUACAAAAUCUACUGCCAUAGUCGAUGAAGCUACAAGUGUCUGCUUGGCAGAUCUCCAAGAAAUUGUUCCACCAGCCAACAGGUAAAUACACCCUGAUAUGGAUCUUCUACUGUCUUUGGAUCCAGCAAAAUCAGAGUUGGAAUACCCAAUGAUCUCUAAUUGAUCCAAUCUCCUAUAUGUGAGCAUGUACUCUUUUGUCCUCUGUAAGUACCUUAUAACCCGCUUGGCUGCUUUCCAAUGAUCUAUGUCAGGAUUGCUCAAAUAUCUGCCUAACAUGCCAACUAUGAACGUAAUAUCUGGACGUGUACAUACUUGAGCAUACAUAAGACUCCUAGUGACUGAAGAAUAAUGAAUCUUUUGCAUUUCCUUAAUUUCAAGAUUGGUCUUAGGGCAUUGACUUAGGCUGAAUUUAUCUCCUUUGGUGAUAGGGGUGUCACCUGGUUUACUAUUUUGCAUGCCAAGCCUCUUCAAAACUUUAUCGAUAUAGUUCCUUUGUGACAAUCCCAUAAUACCCCGAGAACGAUCUCGAUGUAUCUUGAUUCCUGAAACAAAGAAGGUAUCACCAAGAUCUUUCAUCUUAAAAUGUUUUAAUAUAAAACUCUUGGUGUCUUGCAGUAUGCCUAUAUCAUUUUUGGCAAGCAAUAUGUCUUCGACAUAUAAAACCAGGAAUAUAUGUUUCAUCCUACUGAACUUGUGAUACACACAUUCAUCAAUAAUAUUUGCCUCAAAAUCAUAUGAGAUAAUUAUUUGAUGAAACUUAAAGUACCACUAACGAGAAGCUUGUUUAAGCCCAUAGAUGGAUUUGGUUAGCUUACAAACCAUAUUCUUUGGAUCUCUUGACACAAAGUUUUCUAGUUGUACUAUAUAAAUUGUUUCAUCAAUGUCACAAUUGAGGAACGCUGUCUUAACAUCCAUCUAAUGUAACUUAAGGUCAAAAUGUACAACAAGUGCCAUAAUUGUCCUAAAAGAGUCUUUUAUAGAAACCGAAGAAAAAGUAUCUUUAUAGUCAAUUCCUUCCUUUUGAGUAAAGCCUUUAGCUACAAGACGUGCUUUAUACCUCUCCACAUUACCAUUUGAAUCCAUUUUGGUUUUAAAUAUUCAUUCACAACCAAUGGGCUUCUCACCAGAAAGUAAUGAGACAAGUUCCUAAACUUUAUUGUCUUGCAUCGACUUGUACUCUUCAUUCAUGUCUUCAAUCCAUUUAUGAGAGUUGGAACCUUGCAUGGCUUGAUGGAAAUUAAUUGGAUCGUCUUUCAUCACUCGAGUUUCAUCUUCAUGUUACUGAAGAAAUACUAUAUAACCAUUCGGAAUUGCAUUUCUCCUUUCUUUCGUGGAUCGUCUUAAUUGCACGGGCUCUAGAGGUUGUUGAGUUUGUUCCUCAGGAACAAUUAUCUCAUUUUGAAUGAGGGUUUGAACAAUGUUGUCUGAUGAUUGAGGAUCCAAAUUUACUUCUUGCUCAAUGACAGGUAUUGAAACUUGUACAUUGUCAAAAGCAACAUUAGAUCUCUCUUCCUCUUCAAAGACAAUUGUCCUCACUGGAUUUCUCCCCUCAAACUCAACAUCCUAAAAAAAUAUUGCAAUUCUCGUCUCAAAAAUUAAUUAUGUACUAGGAUCAUAAAACUUAAACCCUUUUGAUCGCUCCGCAUAGCCAACAAAGUAGAUGCUUACAGUUUUAGAGUCCUGUUUCUUUUCAUAAGGUCUAUAAGGCCUCGCCUCAGCUGGACAUCCCCAAACAUAUAAAUGCUUUAGACUGUGUUUUCAACCCGUCCAAAGCUCAUAAGGCGUUUUAGCAGUCGCUUUAGUUGGCACUCGAUUUAGGAUAUAAGCUGCUGUUUUGAGUGCUUCACCCUAGAGUGAUUCUGGUAAAGUAAAAUGACUAAUCAUACUCCUUACCCUAUCCUUAAGAGUCCAAUUUUGUCUCUCAGAUACACCAUUCAUGCUAGGCGACCCUGGCAUGGUAUAUUGAGGGACAAUUCCACAUUCCUCUAGGUAUUUAGCAAAUAGUUCUGGACGUUGUUCACUCGAUCCAUCAUAUCUGCCAUAGUACUCACCACCACGGUCAGACCUGACACUUUAAUCCUUUUGUUGAGUUGUAACUCAACUUCGGUUUUAAACAUUUUGAACACAUCCAAAGACUAUGAUUUUUCAUGAAUCAGGAAUACAUAGUCAUAUCUCGAAUAGUCGUAUAUGAAUGUAAUGAAAUAUUAUUGACCAUUCCAAGUAGUUGUGGGGAAUAGUCCACAAAUGUCUGUAUGUCUUAAUUCUAAGACGUCUGAAGUUCUGUAGGCAACUAAUUUCUUAAUUUUGGUUUGUUUUCCUUUGAUACACUCAAUACAAACAUCUAGGUUUGUAAAAUCAAGAGAUCCUAAAAUCUCAUCAUACACUAAUCACUCAAUUCUAACUUUAGAGAUGUGACCUAAGCGUUUGUGCCAUAAUGAGGCCAAAUUUUCUUUCUCUAAUUUACGCUUUGUACCUCUGGAACUAAAAUGCAGGUUUUCAUUAUAACUUGAAACAAUUUCUAGCAAAUAUAGAUUGUCACAAACAUUAAGCAAACCGAUUCCAAUAACAUUAGAAUUGAUAGAUAAACUAAAGGGAUAUUAUCAUUUUCCCACCAAAGGUAUUCUGACACAUCAUGUCAGUACCAUGGUUUGGUAAAAUCAUUAAUUUACCACCAAAUGUUUAAACUGUUAGUAUUUUCCCACCAUUCCGUUAAAACUCAGUUAAUAUGUAAUGGAAAAUUCAUAAAAGGUCAAUUUUACCCCUGAAAAAUUCAUAAAAGGUCAAUUUAUUUAAUUUUUAAAGGGUAAUUUUUUUUAUUAAAUUGACGAGCUAAAGACAAUUUAUUCUGCUACUAAAAAUCAAUUUAUGAAAGGGGAAAAAAAUGCAAAAGAAGCAAUUUAAUCUUUGAUAUGAUGAUAAUAAUUUUACACAAAAAAUUAAAUAAAUUGACCUUUUAUGAAUUUUCUAGGGGUAAAAUUGAUCUUUUAUGAAUUUUUCGUUACAUAUUAACUGAGUUUUAACGGAAUGGUGAGAAAAUGCUAAUAAUUUAAACGUUUGGUAGUAAAUUGAUGGUUUUACCAAAUCGUGGUACUGACAUGAUGUGUCAGAAUACCUUUAGUGGGAAAAUGAUAAUAUCCCUAAACUAAAUUGUCUGUUUACAAAUGAACAAGAAUAACCAAAUUUGUCCAAAACAGAAACUGAAAUCAAAUUAUGUCUAAAAGACGGAACAACAAAGUAUCUAACAAAUCCAAAUAACAACCAGUUUUCAUAAGUAAUUUAAAAUGCUCAAUUGCUUCAACUUCUAUCGUCUUUCCAUCUCCUAUAUAAAUACAUCUUUCAGCAUCACUUGGCGGCCUGUAGCUCAGGCAACCCUGCAGUGAAACACAAAUGUGAGUAGUAGCACAUGAAUCUAUCCACCAUGUGUUUCUUGGUACUGAAGCUAAAUUAGUUUCAGAACAAACCAAAGUAAAAAAUGCUCCUUUCUUUACGCGCUUUGCGUGAUAUUUUUAACAUUCCUUCUUCAUAUGUCCAGGCUUGCCCGCAGAAGAAACAGCCAUGCUCGGCCUUUGGUUUCUUUGGCUCUGGACCCUUAGAAGCAAUAGCUUCACCCUUUUUCUUUCUUUUGCCCUCAUCUUUAGAAGUGCUUACCUCAUGUGCAUAUUCGGUUUUCUCUUUCUUCAGUCUCUUUUCUUCUUGAACACAAAAGGAAAUCAGUUCAUUGAGAUUCCACUUCUCUUUCUGACAAUUGUAAUUAACUUUGAACUGAUUAAAUUGUGCUAGGAGAUAGAUAAGGACCAAAUGCAUGACCAAAUCAUUAAAUAGGUCGAGCCCUAAUGCCUUAAGCUUAGAAGCAAGAUGAGACAUCUUCAUGAUGUACUCCCGAAUGUUUCCCUUGUCUUUAUACUUCAUCGAAAUCAAGCUUGCUAAAUGCGUACUUGUUUAAGCCUUAUCUUUUUUUGUAAAACGUUUAUGAAUUUCGGCAAGAAACUUACUAGCACUUGUAACCUUAUCGGUUAUAGCACUCCUAAAUACUUCUGGAACGCCGCACUUCAUGAUUAUAAGACUCAUCCUGUUAGAUCGAUCCCACUUCUCAUAGUACAAUACAUCCUCAGAUGUACUAUCAUCAGUGAGUUGGUCCGGCUUAGGGUGUUUGAAUGACAAGUCUAGAUCCAUGCAGCUUAAGAGAAUCAUCAUAUUCUAUUUCCAGUCCUUAAAAUUAGUCUCAUUCAGAACCGGGAUACUAUUUAUAUUUGUAUAUAUAAAAGCAGCGGAUAGAAAAGCUGAAUCGAGAACAAAAAAUAAAUAAAAUUUAAAUAAACAAAUAAUGCUCACAUUAAACAGCGUAAUUAAUAAUCUUUAAAAAUUUAAAAGCAAAUAAUAACAUUUUAAGAUACCUGGCACAACAUUAGUAACAAGUCUUUGGACUAUAAUACUAAUUGUAAAUGGUACUCUUGUUGCAGUGAUCAAAUUUUGACGAUAAGUUAUGUCAAGUAAUGAACCUAUUUUUGGAUUAGUACAUUAUUCACAUUAAGUUAUCCCAAUAAUCGUCACAAAUUUACCAUCCAAAUUUGAAUUCAACUAAAUAUUAAAUAUUGAAAACUAACACCAAGAUUACAUGGCCACUGCAAACUCGAUUUAAAUGAUCAUGCUUCGGUUUCAUAUUUAAAAAAAAAAUAACAUACAAAUUUUUAAUUAUUCUCGCUAAUCUAUUCAUGGAUUAGCAAAUUGAUUUGAAUAUUACUAUUAAUCAAAUAUUGUAUCUCAAUAAUCUAAUCAUGGAUGAGGCUCUGAUACCACUUGUAAUUUCCUAAAUCUUCAUAAGAAUCCAGAUUAAAAAUAUUGAGCAGUACAAUUUCAGAAGCAUACCUGAAUCCAUCGUUGUUGCACAAAGAUUUCUUGAUUUUUUGUGAUGGUCUUCCAAUCUAAUCUCUUCUCCUUGAUUAAGAAUUCUUGUUGAGAGGUUUUUAAAAUUACUAAGAGUUAAGAGAGAUUGGGGACCGUUGUUGUGCAAAUUUUAAUGUACUCGCAAGAGCACGAAUCUAUUGUAGUAUAGAUCAAUGGUGACGAGUGUCGAUCCCACGAGGAGGUGGAUUUUAAUUAUAUGUAGAAUUAAUUUUGUAAAUGGGUGGUUGGAAUUGUGGUGGAAGUGAUUUAAAUUAUCCUAAAAUUGGAAUUGAAAUGGCGAUAAUAAAUUCUAAAAUUGGACUUGCAAUGGCGAGAAGAAAUUGAAGAUAAUUCUAUUGAAAUGACGUACUUGGGUAUUCGGAUCCGCAUCAACAUGCAUCAUGGGCUAAAUAAUCCAUAUUAAUGCCAAUUAAAUCAUGAGGGGGGAAUCCACACCUCAUAAACCACGAUCUAAUCAAUAUGGUGCUAAGAGCUUAUUGUGCCAAAUAAUAAUAACCUUGUACUAGAGGGCCGGUGAAACCAAGGCGGUACUAGACAAGAUUAGUAUUAUUUGUCGACGAGAAGUCAAAACAUCCACAAAAACUAUAGGGGAAGAGAAAAUAAAUUUACCAAAUUAAGCCCAUGACACAUGUUGAGACUUCACCUUCAACCCAAGUUUGAAAGAAAAUUAGCCACUCAUAAUUGAACUAGGGGCAAAAUAGGAAUUUAUUAAAAUACGAAGAAAAUACAAGAUGGAGAAGGAAUUACAUAAAAUGGAUCCCAAAAAUGGAUUCAGAGAUAUCAAAUUAGGGGGGAGAGGCCCCUUUUUUAUAGAUACAUGGAGUAAAUCAUGGCCAUCGGAUUAAAAACAGUUUGGACGCUCAGGAUUGCGCCACGUCAUUAGUCAACAGUCCACGGUUUGACCACGCGGAUGAACAGUAACACGGUUUGACCCGACUUUGAACAGUAAUGCGGUUUGACCCGGAUGAACAGUAACGCGGUUUGGUUGAAAAUAACCCUGUGUGAUGCAUGCACCGUAUGCGAGAUUUUUCGUCCACUGAUAUGCUGCCACGUCACCAUCAACAGUAUAUAAGAAUUUUAGUCCAACAGGAUCGUGGCACCUCAUCAGUCAAUGCCACGUCAUCGGUCCGUCUAUGUGAACAGUAUCGUGAACAGUAACGUAUACAGUACCGUACACGUGAAUAGUACCGUACAUGUGAAUAGUGCCAUUUUUCCUUUUAUGCUCCUCCUAAGGUUUUCGACCGUCCUGAGUUCAAAAGUGAUGUCCGUUUUGCCAUCUGAUUUCUCGUUUAUUGUGAAAUGA
rnacentral:lncRNA from 1 species